rnacentral:lncRNA from 1 species
UUGCCCAGUCAGCUAAGCUUGCUUGAUCUUUCGGUGAACUUGGAAUCACUGGUGGCCUUGCACAUAGCACCUCAAACAAAACCACACCGAAUGAAUAAACAUCAGAUUUCUCUGUCAGGUGUUGCCUACGGUAGUACUCUGGAUCCACAUAUCCAAUGCUACCUCUAACUACAGUGCUAACAUGGGUUUGGGAUGUACUAGUGGGACCCAAUCUGGACAGCCCAAAAUCUGAAACCUUAGCCACCCAAUUCUCAUCUAACAAUAUGUUUGUUGACUUCACAUCACGGUGAAUGAUUGUGUGCUUUGCUCCUGAAUGAAGAUAAUGCAACCCUUUAGCAGCACCGAUGCAUAUUUCUAGCCUUUGCUUCCAUGGAAGAGGAGAGUUCUUUGUUUUGUAUAGAUGUUCUCUAAGAGUGCCUCUUGACAUGUAAUCGUAUACAAGAAUCAUCUCGCCAUGAUCAUCACAGUAUCCAAUCAGUGACACUAGAUGGAGGUGGCGCAGAUUGGAUAACAUCUCAAUCUCUGUCUGGAACUCACGUGUCCCUUGCUUUGAUGAUGACUCUAGUCGUUUGAUGGCUACUGCGAUGAAACCGUAUUCAAUGUAUCCUUUAUACACAGUACCAAACCCCCCUGAACCAAUAAUAUUUUGAUCAUCAAAGUUUCCUGUUGCUUCGUUGAUUUCGAAAAAUGUAAACCGUCGGCAAAGAUCAGUAGGCAGUGAUGAAGAGAUUGUAGUCGUGGACCUAGAUGUUUGUGAUAUUAGAGUCCAGGAGGAUUUUUCCUCACUCUUGCUAGGGUCCUUGACUCGCUUCUGCUUGAAAGCAAAGAAAUAAAGAAUAAGAGAGCAAGCAAAUACUGCACCUAUGGAACCUCCAACGAUGGCUAUAACCGUAAGUAUUGAUGAUCUUUUGCCCGUUCUUCUGUCUUGUAGACUUGGAUGUUGUUCUGCUGGUGGAGGAGCCACUGUUGGCUCAGGGUUGAAUCCUGCAAGAUUUCCUGUGUUGUAUUCAGCUUGAAUAUUUCCAAGCCAUUCAAGAUUGCAUCAGCAUAAGUAGGUUUCAGUUCCAUGUUAGGGUGUAGUUCGAGCCACAAGCCCUGCUUGCUCUGGCUCCCUGAGGGACCGCACGAUGUAGUCUUUGUAAACUGGAAUGCCGUUGCCACCGCUCAUAUGGAUCACAUCUGCAUCAUCUGCUGUUUGAUUGUUGAUGAAUAUUAAAAAUACCUGUGAUUUUCAUUUUGAACUCCAUUCGAGUCUCACAAAAGUGGAGCCUAAGGAGAUAAUGAAACCAGCAUCAACUGGGAAGAUCCAUGUGAGAUUGUAAUUCAUGUUAAGAAUGGUUCAGGACCCAUUGAACGCAUAGUACUAUAUACCAUAACAGGUGCGGAGUAAGCUGGCGUUUUGGUUGUGUACUUUAUCUUGACGCCUGGGAGAUAUGGAUGUUUCCAGCUUUUCCAAAGAGAUACUCUGAAUCUUGAUGCCAUGUCCUGUACAUUCCAGUCUUGUCUCCAGUGCUGCUGAUAUCUUGCCCCCCAACAUUCAGUCGAUAAACUGUCUCAAGCGCAGUUGUGUUACCCAGAUAGAAGGUGGGCGUGCCCACAUAGGUCAGUGGAUUAUCAUCGCCACGAGCAUAGAAGCUGUCUGGCAUGGAAACGAUUUCGAUACCAUUAACGAAGGCAAAAGAUGCUGGAGACGGAUGAAGGUUAAUUCAAGCUUCUGGUUGUCCCACACGGUGAUGAUGAACUCUUUGGUGAAGUAGUCAACUGGAGGUCUUAUAGCAGAAACUGUAAGAGAGGCACUAAAGUUGUUUAGUAGCUUGUAGUUGUUGGCACUAAGCGAAAAAUAGGAUUUGGAUAUGUCAAGAUUUGAGUAAGAAGCUGGAUAAAAGUAGAGACGCACAAAUUUUGGGCCAGGCAAGACUGGAAAUGUGUAAGUGAAUUAGAGUGAAAAAUACGGGCUGUCAUGUAUGGGACUUGGUCGACAGAGGGGUCUUGAGUGGAGGCUUCAAACACAGAUGAGGCUUCUGGGGGGUUAGAGGCAGCAAACUUAGACUGGGAAUCACCAUCCCAGCUGCGACCAUCUGGAGAUGACAAAUUAGAGGAUGCACCACAGUUAAGGAGUAUUAGAUCAGUGGGUCUGUAUGGCAGCAAGUAAUCUUCAGUAGCAGUAGCAUAGAGGAAGAGAUGGAGGGGAGGGAGAAGGUAGAGAAAGAUGAAGAUGGACAUUACUAUGCUAGUUCUUUGGUGGAGUAAAUUGGAGUAAGAAAAAAUAUCUAUUAAAUGCAAAGAUUUUGAUUUAAGGGAAGAUGAUCAAUGGUGUCGCUGUCUCCAUACAGUAACAUUUUUGCUCAGGUUGAGAAUAAUCCAAUAAUAUAUUUGAGGCCCGUCGGAGAAGAAAAUUCGACGAUAUGGCUAAUGGGACAUAUUGGUCAGCUUUGGAUGGCUGCUUCCCGUUGUGUGGUUCUGAAUUCCGCAAUAAAGCCGCAAUGAACAAUCUAAUUUCAACAAAGGAUCGGAGUUGAGUGGAUGUGAUCCUCCUCCAUGUGUUGUAUUCUUUCUCUAUCUCUAAAUAAAAUGAACCUCUCCCGUGAAUGUAGGCGGUUUUGCCGAACCGCGUUAAAUAUUGUGCCAGUGUGCUUGCCCUCCGUUGAGCAAAUAUCAAUACAUCACCGGUCGGAUUUCCCAACAAUUGGUAUCAGAGCUGAUGGUUUAAAGUGGUGUUUGAUUUUUGCUCAAAAAAUGAAAGUUGUCAAAAUUGUGUUUUGACCAAACCACCGUGUAGAGGAGGAAGAGACGAAGCCACUGUUGAAAAAUGUGUUGAAAUCGGACGUCGGACAUGGCUGCGCGUGCCGUCACGCAUCGGCGGGGUGGCUGGCCACGUGCGCAGCAGCGCGCCUCGUCACACGUGUCUUCUUCGCCUGGAUGGGUUGACCCGACCCGAAUACCAGACGACCAGACCCACGUGGCUGACCCGGAUAAGGAUGACAUCAGCAUGACAUAAUUAUGAUGUCAUCAUGCACAGUAGCAUGGCCCAGGAUGACAUCAACAUGAUGUAAUGGUGGCGUCAUCAUGCACAGUCAGCAUGCCAUGUCAGCACAGUGAGCCGAGCCGAAUUGGAGCUGAGCCAAGCCACGAGCCGAGGGAUAGGAUUAUGUGUAGCUGAGUCUACGUGCAAUCGGAUCUGAGAUUGAAUGUGAGCCGUUGAUCAAGCCAGAAUUGUUUUGAUCAAAGCUUAGUCGUCUGAAGUGUGAUUUGGAUGAUUCAAGACAUGUUUCCAGCUAAUUUGAACAUUCCGGAUGCAAUGGUACGGUCCGAUCGUUGAGAUAUGAGACCGAAAAUGACGGUGGUGAAUUAUUAAAGAGAGAUUGCCCGAUCAGGAGGCAUCUGAGGGUCUUGAUGGAGGUCGAUGGAGAUGAUGAAGAAGAAGGUGCACAUGUUUUCCCAAUUACAUGUGCUGAACUAUUAAAUGGGAAAAUGUAAUGCCUUGAUGGAAGGCAAAAUUGGGACACUCUGGACACCCGGUUAUGUGGACAAUUGAGGUGGAGAGUGAAAAUUGACGAAGACCAAUCUUGACGAAUCUAAGCACUGUAGUCUCGCAGAUGUUGAGAAAUCAGGUAUAAAACCUGAUACCAGAUCACUUGUAAAGGAAAGCCGCAACAAAGCUAGCAAAUGGUUGUAUAUACGGAAAGACAGUACGAUGGAUAGAUAUGGCCUAAGAAGUUCUGUCUAGGAGAUUGGGUUUUAAGGGACCGUGUGACCCCUCCAAUCUUUCCUGGGAACUUGCUUAGUGGAAGGAUUAUCCAUACGGUACUAUUUUCGUAUAUGUAACAGUUUGUAAUGAAAUUGUUGAAGACUAGCAGGAUGACGGCACAAGGGGAACAGUUGGGUUCCGUAUGAUCAAGGAUCUGAUGGAGUGGUGAUUUCUUCAAAGAAGCUAGUUUCGGUGACUGUGAUUUCUCGAGGGAAGAAUUGAUGAAGACGCUGAUAAUGGAAGAGAAAUAUAGCAAGGGGAUAAAGAUUGACACCCUAUUUUGAAUUGGACAAGUGUUGUGUCAAGAUGAGCUGCUGUCAAACAUAAGCAAGGAAUAGGGAGAAAUCUAGAGAACAGAAAUUGCACGAGAGCACACGGAGAUUGUGCAGGAGUACCCGUAGGAUCCAACAAGGUACUGUAAUGAGACAACAGGUACAAGGAGAAGAAGAGUUCCCAGAUGAAGCUAAAAGCAGAGACUGUGUAUAAUAGGAAGUCUCUUAUGCUCUUGAUGAAGACAACAGGCGAAGACCUUUCCAAUGCAUGCAAGGAUGGAAAGAUGAGUUGUUGUAGAGGCACCUAAUUGAGGGGAUGCAAACGCCUGUGAUAAAAGGCAACGGUUUAUGAAAGGCAAAGACACCAAAGAGAGUUGGUGUAGGUGGAGCUGUUAAGCGCAAUGAUGAAAGGCGUAGAAGCUCCAAACAUAGAAAUCGAGGUGGAGGAUUGGGAGGAGUAUACCGCAAGUUUCUCUUUCUAUGUAGUUAGUGGCAGUAAUCUCUCUCAAGUCCACAUGGUGGUAGAGAAUUUUGGAGCCACUUUGAAGCAUCUCAGCUGAAGGAGGAUGCGACCGCCUAUGAAAAGGCGAAGACACCUUAGAGAGAAGGUGUGGGCCAUGUAAGCCCAAGAUCAGACGCCCAUGACAACGGGCGAAGACACCUUAGAUAAGGUGUGUGGGCCAUGAUAGGAGCCCCAGAUUCAGAUCGCCCCAUGACAACGGGCGAAGACACCUAAGAUAAGGUGUGAGGGCCGUGAUAGGAGCCCCAGUUCAGACCGCCCCAUGACAACCGGCGAAGACACCUUAGAGAAGGUGUGAGGGCCAUGAGAGGAGCCCCAGUUCAGACCGCCUUAUGACAACAGGCAAAGACACCUUAAAAAAGGUGUGAGGGCCGUGAUAGGAGCCCCAUUUCAGACCGCCGCAUGACGACAAGUGGAGACACCCAAGGAGAAGGUGUGUGGGCCACGAUAUGAGCCUAGUUCAGAACGCCCCAGAGCCAAUGUGAUGGCUAGAUAUGAGUGGACAGGUGUAUAGCCAAUGAAGUGGCUAUGAUGAGUAUGGAGACAAAUGCAGGAUUGACUUCAUGGAUAUUGCCCCCAUGCUAAAGAUCAAUGAGCUAGAAGACAUUUGCCUUGGACAAUAAGUGGAUGACUUAUGGAGCAUUAAGACGCGACUGCUAUGAAGGAGUAGAGGGCAUGUGCAGGUUCCUGGAACAAGUUGACUCUUGUCAAAGUGGUGAGCUCGGUGUAGACAUUGUAAUACUCACAGUAUCAAGACAGAUAUGGAUCAACCUUUAAUGGGUUGCCCCCAUAGGUAAAGGUGGAAAGCUACCUGGACUCUUGAGACUAAGAGUGAGAGACUCAUGGAGAAGUAAGGCGUUGUUUCUAGGGUGGAACAGAGGGCAGCGCAACUCCUGGAUGAGUAGACUCUUGGAAGAGUGGUGAGCUCGUGAUCAUAUUGAGAUACUCAGAUAAUGACUGUCGCACUUGGAAAUAUCCGUUUGAGGGGGUGUUCUAAGCCUUGGUGUGAGGCUUGAUAAAUCAUUCAGGACCGAGCAUGGUUGAUACACUCGAAGGGGAAUGAUGUGUCCCAGAGACAAGCGUUAACACUCUUCAGAUGUGAUGUGGGAGACCAUCUGGUUGCAGUGAUCCUUUUGUGUGAGAAAAGGUGUGCUUUGGUGACUCUGGUGAUUGAAAGGUUUGGCGAGUACCUGUAAACUUGGCCACAGACGCUCUCGGAAUGGUAAGCUUGGAAGAGCUGCAGGAUGCAAGAUUGUGCUGAAGAAGCAAGAGGACAAUUGCCCAUAUAAAUGUCAAAGGGGGUGAUUGUUGGGAUAUUGUCAUUAUUGGGCAACAUGUGCAGCCUACCCUAUAAAGAGUAGGGUUACCAUUUGUCAAUGGUAGUUGCACCCACCAUUGAUAAAUGUAUCAACCCAUGUGCAACUAUUGUUGUUGAAGAAGAACAGCCACCAUCCUUGCCUAUAAAUAGACAGCAAGAGAGCAGAACAAUUGAGAGAGGGAUUGUGAGAAUGUAGAGAGUGUGAAGAGAGAAAGAAAGAGAAGGGCUGCCACCAGCAGCCCUGCUGCCUUAUGCAGCUACUGCCCUAUGCAACAAUGAGAGAUGGGAGUUGACUGGAUGUGAUCCUUCUCCAUGUGUUGUAUUCUUUCUCUAUCUCUAAAUAAAAUGAACCUCUCCCGUGGAUGUAGGCGAUUUUGCCGAAUCAUGUUAAAUAUUGUGUUAGUGUGCUUGCCUUCCGUUGAGCAAAGAUCAGUACAUCACCGGUCGGAUUUCCCAACAGUUAUACUCAUCGAAAACAUGAGUAAAAAAAAAAAAGAAGGGUUCAGACAGUUGCACCCACCAAAGGUUGAGAUGAAAUAAAAAGAGGCAGGAAUUGAAUUCAAAGGUAUUUUUGCUGUAAACAAUUCCAAUCCUUUGUAUGAUUUUUUAGGGAGAAUCUCACUUAUUGAAGAAAAAUAUUGCCAUCAAUUGUUUGACAACUAAGUUGGAAAAUUCUUUGGAAAUGUUUUGAGAAAAUCUUUCAAGGUGCAGGGGUUUUGAUUCAUCUCUUGAAAGGUUAAAACCUUUUGAAUUUUUAUUUUUGAAAAAACAACAUUGUUUACAUCUUGAUUAUGAGUUAUUUCAACAAAGUCAAUAUCAACCAAAAUAAACUCAUAGAAUUUGUUUUGUUUUCAACAUAUUUUCUAAAAUAACUUAUGAAAAUAAUAGCUUCUUGACUUGAAAGGGUUAAAGCUUUUUUUAGGGAAAAUUUGGAGGGUAAUUAACACAAGUGAAAGAACAAGCAAUGGGACAAUAGCGAGAAAAAGAAAAUUAAUAGUUGAAAUAGAGUAGAGCACAAGAAUUCUAAUUUAUAGUUUUAUUGAUGAAGAGAAAAAUUCACUAUUUCUUUUGCCUCUUUAAGAUGUUUUCAACUUUUUAAAUAAUCUAAAAAAUCAAACUAAUCAAACAAGAAAACCCUAAAAUAAAGAUAAAAAAUAUUAAAAUUCCUAAACAAACUUAGAGAAAUAAAAUUACUAUUCUCAAUAUUUAAUUUCCUAAACUAAGUAGAAAAAAUAAAAUCACCGAAAAUAUUUUCCUAAACUACAUAGAAAAUAAUAAUAACUAAGAAAUUUUAAUUUCAUAAAAACCCUUGGCAUCAACAAUAAUGUUGUAAAAGGUGUAUUAAUUUUGGGAUUGAACAAACUAGGGAUUUUGGAGAGAUUAAGAAUAAUUUAUAGGUGAGGUGUUUGGACUAGAUCAUGCUGAUGAAAGGAUUCAAAAUUGAUUAUUUAAGAUACUAGCCUGAAGAAGGUCAAACCCUCCUUGAAAUAAAUAUCUUGAACGCUUGAUGUUGUGGCUUGAAUUGGUCUUGAUGGUGUAAGAGCAUAUGAUUAUUUUGACUUAUUUUGAGCCUAGUAAAGACUCUUUGGAUAAAAGACUCUUUGGAUAAAAGACUCUUUGGAUAAAAGACUCUUUUACUUCUUUCAUUAAUUCAAUCUCGAAAUCAUAUUUUAAUAGAUUAUCUUGUUACCUGGCAAAAAUUUGUUUUGACACAAUAUUUUGAAUAUUUUUUUCAACAACUUAUUUUACAUAUUGACAAUUUAUUUGUAAAAGAAAUUUCUGGAAAAUAAAUCAUCUUGAAAAUAUUAGAUGUAUAAAAUAAUUAAUAAAAUUUUAUUUUUGAUAGUUGAAUAAUUUUCUUGAGGAUCCAACCAAAUACCUAAAUGAUAUUGCAAUAUAUGUUAUUGACUUUGAAAAUUUUGUUUGAGAAUACCACUAUAACUAAUAUCAAAGGCAUCGGUUUCAACUAUAAAAAAGGCCUCUAGAUCAUAAAGUCUUGAACAUGAAAACUCUUGACUUGACUUUUAAGAGUAUUCACAAUUUUGAUCAUUUGAUGAUUGAUUUUAGACAGGAGGGUUUUUCUUAAGUCUUUUGUACAAAGGUUGACAUAUAGUUCUAUGAUUUGGAAAAAUAUCUAAAACAUAAUCGAGGCAUCCCAUAAACUUUUAAAGCUAGGUUUUACCCUUGAUCUUAUUUAUGAAUUUAAUGGUAAAUUUUAUUAUAGUGACAAGGGUUAUUGAUAAAUUAUAAUUUUUAAGGUUGAGAAAACUAAUCUAUUUUGUUUGAUAAUAUUAAGAAACAUUUGUAAGUUGUUCAAAUGUUUGGUUAUUAGUUUUAAAAAUAAAAGAACAUCAUCUAUGUAUAUAAUCAUAAUUUUGAAUAUAGAUUAAAGAUGUCAUUCAUGAUGCUCUGAAGUUUUGAAGGAGUAAUUUUUAGUUCAAAAGACAUUAUAUCUCAUUUGUAAUGACCAAAUAAAAUAAUGAAUGUUGUUUUAUAAUGAUUUUUUUAAUCAAUUUAGACUUGUUAGAAUCUUGAUUUCAUAUCAAUUUUUGAAUAUAUUGAAGAAUUUUAAAGUCUUCUGAUAAGAUCUCUCUUAUUGUGUAUUGGAUAUCUAAUAUAUUGGAGCACUUUGUUGAGAGGCUUGUGAUUUAUGACAUGUCUUAGUGCAUGAUUAGUACUUAAAAGUGUAUUUUAUCAAUGUUUUAUAUUAUCAUUUUGUACUUGAAGUAUCAAUAACUCCUUAACUAGAGCAUGUUUUAUAAUAACAAGUCUGAUAAUAUAAGAUAACUUUAAUUUAUGGUAAAUGCUCAUUUUAAAUACAGACAUAUCUCACAAUCCAAAGGAUUGAUUGCUGUGAUUAACUAUUGAAAGUGAAAAGACAAAGAAAAGGCUAAGCUUAGAAAGGAGAUGCAGAUUCAAUUCAAAUUGGAACACUGUUAAGUUAUUGGGUCAUAUCUGGAGCUACAGUUCUUGGAUUUCAGUUUGGUUUAUAUGGCUAGAAAGAUAAGAAAUAGGCUUACAAUGUUCAUGAAUAGUGAAAGACCCAAAUCUUCCGUUUUCAAAUUCAAAGUUUGGCCACAAAAGAGAAGUUAGAAUCUGUCCUACAAUCCAGCCCAAACACUGCUCAUACUUUUACCCAUAGCUGGAGUUUUAAAAGGAAAAAUGAUGUCAAAUUUGGUGGGUGGAAGGAUAAGACAAUUUUCAAAAACUUUCAUGCAGACGACCUGCUCCAAUUAUGAUGUUAGAAAUGACAUUUCAUCCAGACAAGAGCUUGAGGGAUGUCCACUACGUCCACCAGAAGCACUACUCAGUAUUUUAGCCAUAUCUCAAUCUCUAGUGAUCCAAAUGCUCUAAAAUUUUAUGGAUGGAAAGAGGAGAUGAUUGCAGACAACUUUUAUGAAGAACACUUUGCCAAAUGUUGAUUGAAUCAAUGUCAUUUCAUCCAGCCAACAUGCUUAAGUGUUGUUGUCCACCAAGUCCACUAAAUCAAUAGUUGGCCACUACAUCAAUAAUCAAUUACCAAAUGAAUAGUUCUGAAUUUUAGCCUAUAAAAGGAGACAAUUGCAAUUCAUUUAGGCAUCUUGGUUUUUAGAUCAAGAUCAUGUUCUUGCUCUCUCUUUAUAUUUUUGUAAUGCUUAAGUUUUGCUUUCAUUAAUCUCUUGUUUAUGCUUUUCAUUUUCUUUACUAUACUUAGUUAACUUAUAUCAUGUUUAUGUUCAUAUAUUGUUUAUUUAUGUUUUUCCUUUUCAUAAUGUCGAGCUAAGUUAAUUAUGUCAAGGUGAAAAGGUUUCACUAAUGGUGUUAGAAUAUGUAUAAUAUAAACUCAAUAUGGACUUCAAUGUUUAUAUCCAAGAAAGUUUGUUAUUAAUAUGUCAUAUCUUUUUAUCUUAUUAAUUCUUAAUACCUUGCUUGUUAAAUGGUUAAUCUAGAUUUGUGUUGUAUAACACUUGGUAAAUCAAAUGCUUGAUCCUUCAUAGUCUUCGGUCAACAUCAUUGUUAUGAGAUUAGCAUCAUGAAUUCCUGAUAAUAUUUAAAAGUAUGGUGUUACUAAAAUAAGAUAAUUAAUAUGAUCAUGUUAAAAAUUUAUAAUUAACUUUUACGGAUAAAUCAUCCUAUUGGAACCUCCUUUGUGUGUGGUUUCCAAUUGAGUAAUACAAAGAGUUUAUACUAUACUUAUUUCUAAUACCAUUAGUGGACCCUCUAACCUUGACAUUUGUUUGUAUUAUUGUUUAAUCCUCACAUUAAUCUUAUAUCUCAAAGAUCUCUUUAUAUAUAUAUAUAUAUAUAUAGUUAACUUUCCUGUGGAUCGACCCCGGUCUUGCUGAGUUAUUUAUAACUUUGACACUCCUUCACUUGAGAGAAGACAUCAAUCUUUUGGUCAUGUCAGUGCACUUCUUUCUAUUUCAGCUUGAUUCCAGACAUAAAAAGGUGGCACAUAACCAUGAUGAUUUACUAGGGCUUAUAAGACACUUUUUGAUUAAUUUAAGGUAAUUUCCAAUUAUCAUUGUACGUGACUUUAUCUCAUUAUCAAAGUUUAGGAACUUAAAUGUUUGAAUUUUGAGAGUUAGCUUUAAUAAGGAGAGUUUAAUUUAUAGAUGAAUUUUUGAGAGCUUUUGGAGCUAUGUUUGUAUCCAUGAUUUUGUAAUAUAUUCUAUAGAUGAUGACUAUAUUCAUGGAAUCUUGAAGCAUAUCAGUACAAGUCUUAACAAGUCUCAAUAUUUAGAGCUAAAGUUUUCACUGUAAGGACCAAAUGAAAUAAUGAAUGUUGUUUUAUAAUGAUUUUUUUUUUAUCAAUUUAAACUUGUUAGAAUCUUGAUUUCAUAUCAAUUUUUGAAUAUAUUGAAGUAUUUUAAAGUCUUCUGAUAAGAUCUCUAUUAUUAUGUAAUGGAUAUCUAAUAUAUUGGAGCACUUUGUUGAGAGGCUUGUGAUUUAUGACAUGUCUUAGUGCAUGAUUAGUACUUAAAAGUGUAUUUUAUCAAUGUUUUAUAUUAUCAUUUUGCACUUGAAGUAUCAAUAACUCCUUAACUAGAGCAUGUUUUAUAAUAACAAGUCUGAUAAUAUAAGAUAGCUUUAAUUUAUGGUAAAUGUUCAUUUUAAAUGCAGGCAUAUCUCACAAUUCAAAGGAUUGAUUGUUGUGAUUAACUAUUGAAACUGAAAGGACAAAGAAAAGGCUAAGCUUAGAAAGGAGAUGCGGAUUCAAUUCAAAUUGGAACACUGUUAAGUUAUUGGGUCAUAUGUGGAGCUAUAGUUCUUGGAUUUCAGUUUGGUUUAUAUGGCUAGAAAGAUAAGAAAUAGGCCUACAAUGUUCAUGAAUAGUGAAAGACCCAAAUCUUCCGUUUUCAAAUUCAAAGUUUGGCCAAAAAGAGAAGUCAAAAUCUGUCCUACAAUCCAGCCCAAACACUGCUCAUACUUUUACCCAUAGCUGGAGUUUUAAAAGGAAAAAUGAUGUCAAAUUUGGUGGGUGGAAGGAUAAGACAAUUUCCAACAACUUUCAUGAAGACGACCUGCUCCAAUUAUGAUGUUAAAAAUGACAUUUCAUCCAGACAAGAGCUUGAGGGUUGUCCACUACGUCCACUAGAAGCAUUACUCAGUAUUUUAGCCAUAUCUUUUUAUGGGUGGAAAGAGGAGAUGAUUGCAGACAACUUUUAUGAAGAACACUUUGCCAAAUACUGAUUGAAUUAAUGUCAUUUCAUCCAGCCAAAAUGCUUAAGUGUUGUUGUCCACCAAGUCCACUAAAUCAAUAGUUGGCCACUACAUCAAUAAUCAAUUACCAAAUGAAUAGUUCCAAAUUUUAGCUUAUAAAAGGAGGCAAUUGCCAUUCAUUUAGGCAUCUUGGUUCUUAGAUCAAUAUCAUAUUCUUGCUCUCUCUUUAUAUUUUUGUAAUGCUUAAGUUUUGCUUUCAUUAAUCUUUUGUUUAUGCUUUUCAUUUUCUUUACUAUACUUAGUUAACUUAUAUCAUGUUUAUGUUCAUAUAUUGUUUAUUUAUAUUUUUCUUUUUCAUAAUGUCGAGCUAAGUUAAUUAUAUCAAGGUGAAAAAAUUUCACUAAUGGUGUUAGAAUAUGUAUAAUAUAAACUCAAUAUGGACUUCAAUGUUUCUAUCCAAUAAAGUUUGUUAUUAAUAUGUCUUAUCUUUUUAUCUUAUUAAUUCUUAAUACCUUGCUUGUUAAAUGGUUAAUCUAGAUUUGUGUUGUAUAACACUUGAUAAAUCAAAUGCUUGAUCCUUUAUAGUCUUCAGUUAACAUCAUUGUUAUGAGAGGAACUUGAUUUGUUGUUAACAUAAGUUAGCAUUAUGAAUUCCUGAUAAUAUUUAAAAAUAUGGUGUUACUAAAAUAAGAUAAUUAAUAUGAUCAUGUUAAAAAUUUAUAAUUAACUUUUAAGGAUAAAUCAUCCUAUUGGAACCUCUUUUGUGUGUGGUUCCCAAUUGAAUAAUAAAAAGAGUUUAUACUAUACUUAUUUCUAAUACCAUUAGUGGACCCUCUAACCUUGACAUCUGUUUGUAUUAUUAUUUAAUCCUCACAUUAAUCUCAUAUCUCAAAGAUCUCUUUUAUAUAUAUAUAUAGUUAAUCUUCUUGUGGAUCGACCCCGGUCUUGCCGAGUUAUUUAUUACUUUGAACAAUCUUUUGGUCAUGUCAGUGCACUUCUUUCUAUUUCAGCUUGAUUCCAGACAUAAAAAGGUGGCACACAACUGUCGCACUCGACAUCGCGGCGGCCUUAAAAAUUAAUUCUCGAUUAUGGAAAAAGAACAGAUUUCUGACAUCUUAUUCUUUAAUGGGGAAUGAUCUUGUUUAAGGAGUCGCCACCUAGUAUUAUGGUCACUAGGAACCCUAACUGGUCAACAGAGAUUCUAUGGUUCGGGACUGGUUACAUAAAAGGGAAGAUAUUAUCACCCCUUAAACGUCAUGCCUAAGGCAGGCUGCAUUGCUGGUUUCGUCUUAAAUUGCUAAAUGUUUAUUAAUUUAUGUUAUGAAAAUUUUCUUAUAAUAUUCCUGACUCUGGCGCCAGUGAAUAUUUAACUACGAAUAUUUCCAACUCUGGCGUUGGUAAAUAUUACGUAGCUAUAAAAAUAAAUUUAAAUCAAUAUUUUUUUUAUUCCUGACUCUGGCGCCAGUGAAUAAAUAAAUAAUAAUACAUUUAUUUUUUUUGAAUGCACAUAUUUCUUUUUUUUUUCUAGCUAAAUAAAAUUGAAUAAACAAAUAAAAAUAAUAUAAAUUUAAACCGGUAUUUUUAUUCCUGACUCUGGCGCCAGUGAAUAAAUAAAUAAUAAUACAUUUAUUUUUUUGAAUGCACAUAUUUCUUAUGUUUUUUCUAGCUAAAUAAAAUUGAAUAAAAAAAUAAAAAUAAUAUAAAUUUAAACCGGUAUUUUUAUUCCUGACUCUGACGUUAGUGAAUAAACUAAUAAAUUUACAUUAUUUUUAUUCUCGCAUACACAUUUUUUUUUUCUGUAUUUUUUUUAUCAUUUUUUAUUUUUUUAUUUAUAUAUAUUUUUGGGCUGGGCCCAGCCCAUCAUAUGUUUUUGGGCUGGGCCCAGCUCAGCCCCAGUGACCCGGCUGGGCAAUAAAAAAAAUAAAGGCACGCGUGACUUGUUCACGCGUGCCCGAACACUGGUGAAGGUAAUUAAAUUACCUUCACACAGUGUUCUUGUAACAUUGAAUUGCUUUUUUUGAAUGAAGAUGCAAAGGGACGAAGUCAUACCUGCUUCUGGAGACGAUGAAGAAGGCUGCGAUGCUGGUGGCUGCUGCUUUCGUUCGACUGCUUUCUCUUCUCUCCCCGUUGUGCUCACUGUCUUCCUUUUUCUUUUCUUUUUUUGUUUCCCUGAUAUGUUGGAGGGGAUGAGACGAAGCUGCGGGUGAUUAGUGCACUGUGUUCUUUUUUGUCUGUGUCUCCUUGGUUUCCCAGUCCAGUGCGCUUCCCUCUGUUCGUUCUCCCUGUUUUGUUAUCUGCCUCUCUAUUUUUUUUGUCUCCGAUUCUCGGCCCCUGUUCCCUCUGGUUUCGGUCUCUGCUUCGUCCUCCUGUGGUGUUUCUUUUCUUUGAGAUCGUAUGAUUUUUUUCUGGUUUCUCCUGUUUCUUUUUUUUUUUUCUGGGUUUUGCUCUGUUUUUGCUUGCGUUUUUGGGUUUCUCUUUCGUUUUUAUGCUGGGUUGAUUUCUGCCUUCGUUCCUUGUUCUUAACUUUGCUUUUUCUGGGUUUUCUCCUCUGCCUCUGGUUUGUGUUUUUUGCUUCCUUUUAUAGAGACAACCGAUUGACCCCCCCCUAACCAUCUUCAAGAUUACAGGCGAGAGACGUGGUCCACGAUUUGGAUCGAAACUGUUGCAGAUCUUCAGCCUAUGGAAUCGGGAUGGAGAAGAUGACCAUGGCUGCUCCACCAGCAACGGCAGCGUUUUGGCAGCAAGAGAUAUUUUCAAUUUGACCCCUGAACUUUGGAAAUUCUGCAAUUGAACCCCUAAGCAAAUAAAAAUUUCUUUUAAUUUUGCCCUUUUGGAUAAAUUUCAAUUAAAUCCCUAAAUUGGUGCACUGUUUACAAAACAGUCCUUAAUUCCUGGAUUAUUCAAUUUGAUCCUUAAUUAAUUCUUUCAAUUUUGCCUUUUUUGGAUAAAUUUUAAUUAAGUCCCUGAAUUUAUUUAAUUAAUUAAAUCAAAGUUUAAUUAAGUCCACAAACUUAUUAAUUCUUUUAAUUUCAUUCAUUAAACUAAUCUAAAUUUUAAGUAAAUUUCCAAACUUAUUAAUUCUUCAAUUUUUGACUAAUUUAUUCUCAAAUCUGAUAAUUUUAUCCUUAAACUUCAAAAUUUAUUGUCUUAACUUCAUUGUCAACUAUAUUUAAUUUUUAUUAUUUGUUUAAAAAUUAUGUUAUGACAAUAACCAUGAUGAUUUACUAGGACCUAUAAGACACUUUUUGAUUAAUUUGAAGUAAUUUCCAAUUAUCAUUGUACGUGACUUUAUCUCAUUAUCAAAGUUUAGGAACUUGAAUGUUUGAAUUUUGAGAGUUAGCUUUAAUAAGGAGAGUUUAAUUUAUAGAUGAAUUUUUGAGAGCUCUAUGUUUGUAUCCAUGAUUUUGUAAUAUAUUCUAUAGAUGAUGACUAUAUUUAUGGAAUCUUGAAGCAUAUCAAUAGGAGUCUUAACAAGUCUCAAUAUUUAGAGCUAAAGUUUUCACUAUAAUAUCUAGGUUGAAUAAUGAGAUAGUGAAAUUUGGAUAACAAUUCAAGUAUGUAGAACCAUUAGCAAGAUUUGAUUGAAAGAUUGUAAGGAGUGAGUUUGAAGAGGUCAUAAAUUUAUGGUCUCUUGAAAACAUGAGUAUGGGAGAGUCUAAUCCGAGAUACUACAAUAUAAAUUAGACGGUGAUCAUUUUUAGUUUGGUUUGUUUUUAAAAAUCAAAACCGGUUCAAACUUUGAAAUUUUUAUAUAUGUUCGUUCUAUGUAUAUUUGUUUUCAAGCUUUGAAAUUUUUAUAGCUCAAUUAUUAUAAUUUUUUUAAAUUUUUUUAUGUGGGAAAAGAGUAUCAAAAUUGUGGGAAAUAUAUAUUAGAAUAUUUCAUGGACUGCACUGCUCUAUGAUUGUGCAUUUAUAGCCCAAUUAUUAUUAUUUUUUCUUUUUCCUGUUGAUUGCAUUUUGGAAUCCAUUUGAUUAGACAUAAUUUGAACUGGAAGAAUGAAUUGGGUUCACCUUCAUUUGUUCUGUUUUAAUGUGACUGAGAGCCUUAUUUUUUAAAAUGUAUUGUCACUCAUUUAGAUACUGGCUAAGUAGAGUUUGCAGUCAGAUUAACAUACAGCAUGCAUUCAUUCCAUUAAGCCCUAAUGGAGUGAAUGAAUAAAAUGACUUCUAUUAAAUGUUCCUCUACUACUUGGAUGCUGAACUGGAUAUUGGAGGUUCCCACAUUGCCCAUUGUUGGUAAUUUAGCACUCUGAAACAGAAGCUAGUCAAUAGGCGUCUAUAAGUUGUACAGAGAUUUUACAAUAGAAACUAUUCAAGUAAGAUUUUGGUGCAAUCAGUGUUCUAUAUGCACGAACAAAUUUGGGGCUUCACUGUACUACCUCAGAUACUCUCAAAAAAUGCUUCUUGGAAUUCGGAAGUUUAGACGAUCAUCGGUUGAAAUGAUGUUACCGUUUCUCUUUCUGAACGUUAUUUCCAGGUUGGAAAUUCAAGUAAUUAGUUCAAAUCCUAGAAGAUGAGUGGUGGCUUAGAAUGCUGUGAAAAAAUCGUUCCCUUAUUCAUUUUUCAAAAUAGAAAAGACAUAACUUUUUGCUUGAACUUCUAGAAUAUAAAAAAAUCUUACUUUUAUAUCUAGACACUUUCCAUCUAUGAUCUUUAAAUCUGAAGACAUAUCAUCGAUCUGGUUUUAAGAAAGUGCUAUUAACAUACCAAACUUUAUUAGAUUGUUGUUGUGCACUUAGGAAGAAAUAAAAUACUUGUCCUCCUUUAUUGUUUUCAAUAGCAUGAUCAGCUUCAUAGUUUUCUACGUUGUCUUUUUUACUAGAAGUACCUUCGUGAAUGUUGGGAAUUUCUGUCUUUUGCAUCUAUACCAGCACUCUUUUACUUGGUGUCCACCUCAUUUUCAAGUUCAUAAGUAGGAGGAAUGAAUGUAAAAAUAUAGCCAUUUUUUUUUCUGGUUUUUUGCUGGGAUUUUUAUUUAAAAUUUGACACAAGUGUUUAUAUAUAAACAUUUUGAUUUUUUUGUUUCCUAAUCGACGAGGAAUUCCACUCACAAGUAAUAUCUGUACAUUUUUUCUCAUGUUUGGUUAAGGCUAGGAAAGUGAAACAAAAAUCAUGUUAUGCUGUAUAAAAAGGUAAUGUAAGUGACUGGUUUCACCAUCACCGGUAAAGUGUCUGUAAUGACUGGUAUGGCCUGUGGGCUACAUUAUGCUUAGAUCCGUUAAAAUCAUGUAUGUAAUGACUGGCUAUGAAUGAGGUUUUUGUAAUUUUUAAAAAAUAAUAAUAAAUUCUGUGAUGUCCAAAGUACACUUAUUAUGGGCUUGAGGAAGUAUUAAUUUAUAUAGUUAACAUCUGGCCUUCCUCAUGUUUUUGCUUAUUUAUUGAAGUCACAAAGUUCUUUGUUCAUCUAUGGUGACACCUGUGUAGUUUAAAGUAAGGGCCUAUCAGAGUACACAGUUGUUAUAGCAUAAUUUUGAGAUACUUUCUUAGGGAUCGAUUGAGAUUUUUAUUGGCUGAGAACUCCCUAUAAGGUACUUGGAUGGUCAGCCAACAAUUUAGUGAUAUUUGACCGAGGCCUCUCCUGUUUUUGAAACUUCAAUGGUAAUGACCAUAGUUCAUUUUUCAACGCUUUGAUUAUAUAAAUUUUUUCCGGCUAGUCUUAUAGAGGACCUACUAUCUACUAUCUGACCACAUGUCAGCUUGACUCUGUUUGUUGCUGGUAUUAUUAUUUUGCUUGUUGAUUGCAUUUGUUUUUCUAUGCAAGAUGUUUUUCAAGCAAUUGCUAUCUAUUUGUAUGUCUGAAAUAUGCUAAGUUUGAGAAUUCCUUUCUUUUCUCCAUUCAGAGCGGUUGUGUGCAAAGGAUGAAUAGAUGUGAACCUGCUAUUGAUCAAUGGUAGAGAUUCGGUUCUGAAGGUGGCUUGAUCAAGUUAUCUUUGGAGUUGGCAUUUUUACACAGGCAGAUGAAAUUUUUGUUGUAUGCCACUGAGGAGCGAACCUCCUAUUGAAUCUGGAUUAGUUACAGAAUUUUAAAGACUUUUUAAUCCGCCUGAGAUUCUAAGCACCGAUUCUUUUACUCUCCCUAGGAACGCAAGGUUAGGAUAAAUGAGUCAGUUAGAUGCUCCACUGGUAUAUCCAUUUUUCAUUUUGCAUAGCUAGUGUAUGCUUGCAGCAAAAUAUUUUAUCCGUUGCAAUUAUAUUGUGAUUUUUCCAUUUUGAACUCGAGAAAUUUUAGUGUAGUAUCUGGAAGACCACAGAGUUACGUGCUUCGGCAGAAACAGUUGUAUACCUGAAUGAAAUCUCUUUUCAAUAAUAAGGUUUGAUUACUCUUUGGAACUCAUUUCCAGUGCAUGGUUCUCUAGUUACAUGCAAAAGUUGCAGGUUGUUUAAAAAUGGUGGUUAUUUUGGUUUUGGUGAUUUAAGCACUCAUUACUGCAAUAUCAGCAAUGAGAAAAAGCAACUACUGAAAAUUGCUCUUAAUGGUGAAAGCAUUAUGCAUCAGGCUUCCUCGGAGUGAAGGCUAGCCAUAGAUGCUUUUGUUUACUGAAGGUGUUAUUUGCAGCAGUUGCAUCUGCCUGCAUAACUGUUACUGGCUUCCAGCUUGGAUAAUUAGAUGGUGAUGUUGGAUUCUGUUGCAGCAAAACAGUUCUUGUGCUGGGAUUCUGAUGAAUCGCGGUGUGAUUUUUGUACUUAAUGUCAGAAGGUAAUGCAUAUCAUCCAUAUUGAGUUAUUCAUCUUCUUUAGGGAGCAAUGAACAUAAGUGGAUAAUGAGAUUUGGGAUUCAUGCUUGGAAAUGUUCUCACGUUUUGGGUUCGAAGGAUUGAAACAAUCUGCACAUUUCUUCUUUCUCUUGGUUCUUUGAAGUGAUAAACUAACUGUAAUAUUAAAUGUGUGAAAAUGAUUGCGGUUCAAAGUGCUUUUGGUUUAAAAAUACAUUAAAAUAAUAUAUUUUUUUAAAAAAAUAUUUUUGAUAUCAGGAUAUCAAAACGAUUUGAAAAUAUAAAAAAAAUAAUUUUAAGCAAUUUUUGUUUCUUUCAAAUUUUGGUGGAACGUGGUUUGAACCGCAUUUCUAAAUGGGGUCUAAGUAUAAAACUAAAAGGUAUGAGUUUUUCACCAUGCAUGAUCUUACUAUUCAUUUUCUCAUGUAUUACUGUCAAUGAACUGUAAAAACUUUUUGUUUUUUCAAUUUGGUUCUUAAACUUCAUUUUGAGCGAUUUAGUCCUCAUUAAAGGCCAAUUGAUUUUGAUUUCUUAUGAAAAAAAUAAGAUUGAAAGAAGAGAGAUCUAAAUGAAAAAGGCAUCAAACAUGAUGACAUGCUUUAAGUUUUGAAAAUGAUGCACUUUGGUCCUCAAAUUUAAAAAAACACAGAUUAUAUAAUUUUGAUACCUUAAUAUUUUUCAAUUUAAGUUUGGUAUGAAAGUUUAUUUUUGUUAUUUUUUUAGUCCAAGGUUAAGAGUGGAGAGAGAAGUCGCUGGAUUCCAACGGUAGAGAGAGAAUCAUGUCGUUGGCAUUGAUUUAGACUAUUAAAACGGAUGAUAUUUGUGUCAAAUAACUUUUUUGAAUUGAGAGAAAUGCGUUGAAAAAACCUGCAUAUAUAAUGUUUUUAUAGAAAAUAAAAAUAUUUGACCUGUAAAGGAGCACAAGUCAUAUAACUACUAGUAGUACUAAAUUGAAGUGAUAAAAAAUAAUAUAAAGCACAAGUAAAUUGCAUAGAUAAGUCAUCAAUGACACAAACCCCUCCAUAUAUAGAUAAUUGAGCAUCGAUUCUUAAGUUUAGGGAGACACAUGGUGGCCAUGUAAGUCUAUACUGGAUCCAUGCGCUUGCAAGUAAUGAUGGAUUCUCAUGAGUCCUAGAAUUCAACAUGCUUAAGAAUAUAACGGACGUGUUGGAUAAUUUGUUGAUUUCUUAGUUCAAGUAAUCUGAUCCAUUCUUCAUAGUUAAUGUAUCUAGUGACUUGAUAUGAAAAGCCUAAAGGGUUGGUAACUAGUAGCAGGUGAUGUCUGGCAAGCCAGGUGACUGGUAGUUGGUACCUAUAAAAGGUCCUCUUUGAUGGAUUUGGAGAUUCUUCGAUAGUAAAGUUAGUAACUUUAUAGAGAGAGAAGAAGCAAUAAUAUUUUAGAGAGAGAUACUCUGAAAAUAUAUACAUAGUAGAGAAUGAAGAUAUUGUGAACCUUUGACUUGAAGGAUUUAUGGUGUAUUUAUAGCUCAUGAAUCUUAUCCUUUUUGUGGAGAGGAGGGACUGAAGUGUAAUUUCAAUAUUAUAAUAUUUUGAGUUGUAUUCUACUUAAAAUAAUACGUAUUUGAUCAAUAUAAAAUAUUGAGAGACUUGUAUGGGGUCCAGAAAAAAUUCUCUAACGAAUGUUGGGCUUGGGCAGGGUGCACGAGCCUAUUGGAGGUGAAAGUGGGUUCAAGAGCACUACUUAGACCCAAACAUACUGGGCUUGGUAUGACAACUUGUGCCCAUGAGGGCUAUAAGGUGCGCGCCCAUGAGGGCUAUGGGGUGUCUGCCCAGCAUCACCUAGGCGUACGCCUUACAUUGGUGUACACCUAUUGGGGUGCAUUAGGUGUACAUGCAUGUACUGUGCAGACGCCUAAUACAUUGUAUAGUGCCCAUGCACUUGGCGUCCAUAUGCCUAUGCAGGGAGCAUGCUCUUGGUGUGUGAUAGCUCGAGCUCGUGUUUCUUGGAUGUUUUUUGAGCUUUUUUUUUUACGAUUUUUUUUGGAUCAAUUUUGGAGAAUUUUUUAGAUUUAUUUUAUUUGUAUCCAUCAGAUUCUAUUAUCAAUUUAAAAAUUUUGAAGUGAUAGAUUAAGAAUAUAUAUUGUAUAUAAGUUCCUCAUUUUCCAUUCCUAACCCAAUAACACAUCUUGAAACACUAAACUGGCGUGAACCUUAAAAUAGAAAACUAAAUUUUAUUGAAAGUUUACCCCUUUCACAAUAUCUGACAAAGCAAUGGAUAGCUUCUACAAAGAGGAUUUUUUAGGAAAAUUUAUUUAUUUUCUUAUUAUUUUUACUAUUUUUUCUAUUUAGUGUAAGAAGUUAAAUUUUAUGUUAAUAUUUUUAUUUUUUCUAGUUUAUUUAGAAUUUUUAUUACUUUUGUUUUUUGUAUUUUUAGGUUUUCUAGUUUGUUUAGGUUAGUUUUUAGGUUUAUCUAAGAAGUUGUAAACCUCUUAGUGAAAAAGGCUAUAAGAACAUAAAAUAUUCAGUAAUAAAAUUAUAAAUUAGGAUUUUGCGAGAUAGUUUUAUUUGGCUUCAAUUAUGUAUUUAUAGCUUAUUGUUUUUUUUUUUGUUUCUAGUUAGUUGAUAUUAAUUACAGUCCAACGAUACCAAUUGUUAUUUGCUUGUUAUGUGCUUAAAUAACUAUGACUGGAAGGGGUAGUAGAAUAAGACAUGCUCGUAUAGGAGUGGAUGAAGAGGUUCCCCUUGAGAAAGAGAUGUUUAAAAGAUGGUGAUAGAAGACAUGCAACGAUAAAUUGCAAAAUUGAAAAGAGAUUUUGGGAUGAUAUAAGACAUGCAUAAAAAAUUGCAAUAUUAACCCAUUAGUUGGAAGAGGUAAGGAGCCUAGGGUAUCUUGAGAAAAGUGAUCAUGGAUCUAUUGUUAAUUUUGAGAACUUGUUUAAAAGACAGUAAGCAAAUAAAAUAACUUGUUGAUUGGGAUGAAUAUGAUAUUGAAUCUAAAAUUUUUGAUAACUCUAGUUUCUUAGUGGACUAGAAUCAAAUACUAAAAUUUGACGAGGAUAAUGAAAAUGACGGCAAAGGAAAAGAUUUAAAGGCAAAUUUUUUAAUUAGUGAUCUCCACGAGAAGAAAUCAAAAUUAGAUGUGUGUUUAAGAAAAAUUUUAGAAUUAAUGAGGUGAAAGCUGAUGCUAUUGCAAUUCAGCUCAUGCAAGACUUACAAGUCGUUGGCAGUAUCCAAUUCGAAUAUUAUAGACUUCGUCUAAGGUAGUUUACAAAGAAAGUACCCUUAAGACGUGAUUAUAAUAAAAAGUCUAUAUUUCCUGAAAAACAGAAAAGAAAAACACUACAAAGCUGAGAAAGGCAGACAAUAUCGAUUGUCAAAAUCUGAAGGAUACUCAAAUGAGUUUCGGAAAUAUUGAGGAGGGUGUAGGAAAACCUGAAAAUGUACGAGAGAACACAACCCCAUCAUGGGUUGCUGUAAUAUGAUAGAAUGGAAUGAAAAACAUAUUGGAAUGAGCAAUAACUAUUACUUGAUUUUUCUAUUUUCUGGUUGUGUAAUUAUCAAUCUGUAAGUGUUACAUAUUGAUCCCGUCUACACUGGCAUUUUUCUCAGCAGAUUGUUGAAGCUGCAAUGCAAAUUCAAGGCCCCAAACGACAUCACCCAUUUUAGGGCGUUCAAUUCCUUGACCAUGUAAGCAACUGUUAGCAAUCUCUGCAAAGUUAUUUAAAGAGACAGGGGAAACCUCGCCCUUUAAAUGUGGAUCCACGAUCUGAUCAAGGGUUCCUCUUUGGUAACAUUUUCGUGCCCAGUCAGCUAAGCUUGCUUGAUCUUUCGGUGAACCUGGAAUCACUGGUGGCCUUGCACAUAGCACCUCAAACAAAACCACACCGAAUGAAUAAACAUCAGAUUUCUCUGUCAGGUGUUGCCUACGGUAGUACUCUGGAUCCACAUAUCCAAAGCUACCUCUAACUCCAGUGCUAACAUGGGUUUGGGAUGUACUAGUGGGACCUAAUCUGGACAGCCCAAAAUCUGAAACCUUAGCCACCCAAUUCUCAUCUAACAAUAUGUUUGUUGACUUCACAUCACGGUGAAUGAUUGUGUGCUUUGCUCCUGAAUGAAGAUAAUGCAACCCUUUAGCAGCACCGAUGCAUAUUUCUAGCCUUUGCUUCCAUGGAAGAGGAGAGUUCUUUGUUUUGUAUAGAUGUUCUCUAAGAGUGCCUCUUGACAUGUAAUCGUAUACAAGGAUCAUCUCGCCAUGAUCAUCACAGUAUCCAAUCAGUGACACUAGAUGAAGGUGGCGCAGAUUGGAUAACAUCUCAAUCUCUGUCUGGAACUCACGUGUCCCUUGCUUUGAUGAUGAAUCUAGUCGUUUGAUGGCUACUGCGAUGAAACCGUAUUCAAUGUAUCCUUUAUACACAGUACCAAAUCCCCCUGAACCAAUAAUAUUUUGAUCAUCAAAGUUUCCUGUUGCUUCGUUGAUUUCGAAAAAUGUAAACCGUCGGCAAAGAUCAGUAGGUAGUGAUGAAGAGAUUGUAGUCGUGGACCUAGAUGUUUGUGAUAUUAUAGUACAGGAGGAUUUUUCCUCACUCUUGCUAGGGUCCUCGACUCGCUUCUGCUUGAAAGCAAAGAAAUAAAGAAUAAGAGAGCAAGCAAAUACUGCACCUAUGGAACCUCCAACGAUGGCUAUAACCGUAAGUAUUGAUGAUCUUUUGCCCGUUCUUCUGUCUUGUAGACUUGGAUGUUGUUCUGCUGGUGGAGGAGCCACUGUUGGCUCAGGGUUGAAUCCUGCAAGAUUUCCGCCUGUUCUAUUCAGCUUGAAUAUUUCCAAGCCAUUCAAGAUUGCAUCAGCGUAAGUAGGUUUCAGUUCCAUGUUAGGGUGUAGUUCGAGCCACAAGCCCUGCUUGCUCUGGCUCCCUGGAGGGACCCGCACCAUGUAGUCUUUGUAAACUGGAAUGCCGUUGCCACCGCUCAUAUGGAUCACAUCUGCAUCAUCCUGUGCUGUUUGAUUGUUGAUGAAUAUUAAAAAUACCUGUUGAUUUUCAUUUUUGAACUCCAUUCGAGUCUCACAAAAGUGGAGCCUAAGGAGAUAAAGGAAACCAGCAUCAACUGGGAAGAUCCAUGUGAGAUUGUAAUUCAUGUUAAGACGUGGUUCAGGACCCAUAGAACGCAUAGUACUAUAUACCAUAACAGGUGCCGAGUAAGCUGGCGUUUUGGUUGUGUACUUUAUCAUAACGCCUGGGAGAUAUGGAAUGUUUCCAGCUUGUCUAAAGAGAUACUCUGAAUCUUGAUGCCAUGUCCUGUACAUUCCAGUGUCUCCAGUGCUGCUGAUAUCUUGCCCCCCAACAUUCAGUCGAUAAACUGUCUCAAGCGCAGUUGUGUUAUACAGAAAGGUGUGGACAUCGGGGCCCACAUAGGUCAGUGGAUUAUCAUCGCCACGAGCAUAGAAGCUGUCUGGCAUGGAAACGAUUUCGAUACCAUUAAUGAAGGCAAAAGAUGCUGGAGACGGAAUGAAGGUUAAUUCAAGCUUCUGGUUGUCCCACACGGUGAUGAUGAACUCUUUGGUGAAGUAGUCAACUGGAGGUCUUAUAGCAGAAAUUAACUGUAAGAGAGGCACUAAAGUUGUUUAGUAGCUUGUAGUUGUUGGCACUAAGCGAAAAAUAGGAUUUGGAUAUGUCAAGAUUUGAGUAAGAAGCUGGAUAAAAGUAGAGACGCACAAAUUUUGGGCCAGGCAAGACUGGAAAUGUGUAAGUGAAUUUAGAGUGAAAAAUACGGGCUGUCAUGUAUGGGACUUGGUCGACAGAGGGGUCUUGAGUGGAGGCUUCAAACACAGAUGAGGCUUCUGGGGGGUUAGAGGCAGCAAACUUAGACUGGGAAUCACCAUCCCAGCUGCGACCAUCUGGAGAUGACAAAUUAGAGGAUGCACCACAGUUAAGGAGUAUUAGAUCAGUGGGGCUGUAUGGCAGCAAGUAAUCUUCAGUAGCAGUACCAUAGAGGAAGAGAUGGAGGGGAGGGAGAAGGUAGAGAAAGAUGAAGAUGGACAUUACUAUGCUAGUUCUUUGGUGGAGUAAAUUGGAGUAAGAAAAAAUAUCUAUUAAAUGCAAAGAUUUUGAUUUAAGGGAAGAUAAUCAAUGGUGUCGCUGUCUCCAUACAGUAACAUUUUUGCUCAGGUUGAGAAUAAUCCAAUAAUAUAUUUGAGACCCGUCGGAGAAGAAAAUUCGACGAUAUGGCUAAUGGGACAUAUUGGUCAGCUUUGGAUGGCUGCUUCCCGUUGUGUGGUUCUGAAUUCCGCAAUAAAGCCGCAAUGAACAAUCUAAUUUCAACAAAGGAUCGACCUAUUCCUUUUUGGUUCAUGAGUGUGCCUUUUUGGGCUGAGCUUAUAACCAAAAAUCUUCUCAUCUGGUAUAGUAAUCGCUUACUGCAAAACUUGGUGGUAAUGAGAAAUCUUUCUUCCCCUUAAUCGAAGAAUAAUGGAUUUACCUCUUGAUAUAUCUGGGACAUAUUUGGUAUCUAUUAGAAAAUAAUAUAAAUUAUAUAUUGAAAUUUUAUUUAAAAAUUUAAGUAAUUGGGUUGAGAUGGUUCUUUGAUAUGAUAUCAGAGUCUUAAUGACAAAACAUGCAUGAGAUUAAAUCUCAUCAUUCUCAUCUAUUUGAUAAAAAUUAAGCACAAGGUAAUGUGAGCCUAUGCAAGUUUAAAGCUCAAAAGACUUUCACUUGAAAGAGUGUGUUAGAGAAUAAUAUAAAUUAUAUCUUGAAACCUCACCUAAAAAUUUAAGCUAUUGGAUUGAGAUAGUUAUUUAACAGUACAUAAUAAAAUCAAUAGCAACAGUGAAGAAGAGGCAAGCUGUCCUCUCUUCCCUGGAGAUGGUAAUUUGCUCUCUCUCAUCCUGUUAAGCUUGAUUUCCAUACAUGAGGGGAAACUGAAUGGAGUUCUCGGUGGAUGAAAAAUAAUUGGAAUAAUAAAUGAAAUGAAAUUGAGUUUCAUUGUUGAAAAAAUCAUGCUGAAAUCACUUCAAUCCUAAGGAAAAUACAAGUCUUCUACAAUGAUCAGGUCUAGCAAAUGUUCUUAUCUUGUACAAACACGACACCUAAUGCAAACCUGUGAACAUUCCAAGAUCUUUUUUUAAACUUCAUUGCUUGCAAUAGAUCAAGGAAGCUUCGCCAUUAAUUAGUGCACGAGAAAGACAAUCACUAGAUAUCGUAUCAACAUAGCAAUUGCUUGCUAUUUUCUUCAAUUAUAAAUCAUUAUAAAGUAUAUACAAAUUUUAUUGUUAUUGUUGGGAUAUUGCCAUUAUUGGGCAACAUGUGCAGCCUACCCUAUAAAGAGUAGGGUUACCAUUUGUCAAUGGUAGUUGCACCCACCAUUGAUAAAUGUAUCAACCCAUGUGCAACUGUUGUUGUUGAAGAAGAACAACCACCAUCCUUGCCUAUAAAUAGACAACAAGAGAGCAGAACAAUUGAGAGAGGGAUUGUGAGAAUGUAGAGAGUGUGAAGAGAGAAAGAAAGAGAAGGGCUGCCACCAGCAGCCCUGCUGCCUUAUGCAGCAAUGAGAGAUGAGAGUUGAGUGGAUGUGAUCCUCCUCCAUGUGUUGUAUUCUUUCUCUAUCUCUAAAUAAAAUGAACCUCUCCCAUGGAUGUAGGCGGUUUUGCCGAACCACGUUAAAUAUUGUGUCAGUGUGCUUGCCCUCCGUUGAGCAAAGAUCAGUACAUCACUGGUCGGAUUUCCCAACAAUUGGUAUCAGAGCUGAUGGUUUAAAGUGGUGUUUGAUUUUUGCUCAAAAAAUGAAAGUUGUCAAAAUUGUGUUUUGACCAUACCACCGUGUAGAGGAGGAAGAGACGAAGCCACUGUUGAAAACUGCGUUGAAAUCGGACGUCGGACAUGGCCGCACGUGCCGUCACGCGCCAGCGUCACACGUGUCUUCUUCGCCCGGAUGGGCUGACCCGACCCGAAUACCAGACGACCCGACCCACGUGGCUGACUCGGAUAAGGAUGACAUCAGUAUGCCGUAAUUAUGACGUCAUCAUGCACAGUAGCAUGGCCCAGGAUGACAUCAACAUGAUGUAAUGGUGGCGUCAUCAUGCACAGUUAGCACAUUGGACCCACUAACACGUCAUCAGCCGUGAGCCGAGCUGAUCCGAGCGGCGAGCCGAGGGAUAGGAUUCUGUGCAGCUGAGUCUAUGUGCAAUCGGAUCUGAGAUUGAAUCUGAGCCGUUGAUCAAGCCAGAAUUGUUUUGAUCAAAGCUUAGCCGUCUGAAGUGCGAUUUGGACGAUUCAAGACAUGUUUCCAGCUAAUUUGAUCAUUCCAGAUGCAAUGGUACGGUCCGAUCAUUGAGAUUUGAGACCGAAAAUGGCGGUGGUGAAUUAUUAAAGAGAGAUUGCCCGAUCAGGAGGCAUCUGAGGGUCUUGAUGGAGGUCGAUGAAGAUGAUGAAGAAGAAGGUGCACAUGUUUUCCCAAUUAUAUGUGUUGAACUAUUAAAUGGGAAAAUGUAAUGCCUUGAUGGAAGGCAAAAUUAGGACACUCUGGACACCCAGUUAUGUGGACAAUUAGAGGUGGAGAGUGAAAAUUGACGAAGACCAAUCUUGACGAAUCUAAGCACUGGUAGUCUCGCUAGAUGUUGAGAAAUCAGGUAUAAAACCAAGAUACCCAGAUCACUUGUAAAGGAAAGCCGCAACAAAGCUAGCAAAUGGUUGUAUAUACGGAAAGACAGUACGAUGGAUAGAUAUGGCCUAAGAAGUUAUGUCUAGGAGAUUAGGUUUUAAGUGGGACCGUUGUGACCCCUCCAAUCUUUCCUGGGAACUUGCUUAGUGGAAGGAUUAUCCAUAUGGUACUAUUUUCGUAUAUGUAACAGUUUGUAAUGAAAUUUUUGAAGACUAGCAGGAUGACGCCACAAGGGGAACAAUUGGGUUCCGUAUGAUCAAGGAUCUGAUGGAGUAGUGAUUUCUUCAAAGAAGCUAGAUUCGGUGACUGUGAUUUCUCGAGGGGAGAAUUGAUGAAGACCCUGAUAAUGGAAGAGAAAUACAGCAAGGGGAUAAAGAUUGGCACCCUAUUUUGACUUGGACAAGUGUUGUGACAGGAUCAGCUGCUAUCAAACAUAAGCAAGGAAUAUGGAGAAAUCUGGAGAACAGAAAUUGCACGAGAGCACACGAAGAUUAUGCAGGAGUACCCGUAGGAUCCAACGAGGUACUGUAAUGAGAAGUUUAUUAUGUUGUUGUUGAAGAAGAACAACCACCAUCUUUGCCUAUAAAUAGACAACAAGAGAGUAGAACAAUUGAGAGAGGGAUUGUGAGAAUGUAGAGAGUGUGAAGAGAGAAAGAAAGAGAAGGGUUGCCACCAGCAGCCCUGCUGCCUUAUGCAGCUGCUGCCCAAUGCAGCUGCUGCCCUAUGCAGCAAUGAGAGAUGGGAGUUGAGUGGAUGUGAUCCUCCUCCAUGUGUUGUAUUCUUUCUCUAUCUCUAAAUAAAAUGAACCUCUCCCAUGGAUGUAGGUGAUUUUACCGAACCAUGUUAAAUAUUGUGUUAGUGUGCUUGCCUUCCGUUGAGCAAAGAUCAGUACAUCAUCGGUCGAAUUUCCCAACAGUUAUACUCAUCAAAAACAUGAGUAAAAAGAAAGAAGAAGGGUUCAGACAGUCACCCUACACGUAGAGCAAACUGAUCCACCCAUCUUGGUGGAGCUCACAUAGACGGAUUGGGUCACCUUGCGCUUUAUAGGUCGCUGUUGAAAUCGAAACCCACGCAGACAGAUAAAGAACCGACCCCUUUGUCCCCUCUUCCUCGAUCAACUACCAUGUUUGCAUCGAUUGUAGCAAGUGCAAGGCCGAGAGUUACCAUUGAUCGGUUUUGCACAGUUGCCAUAUAUUUGUGCAUUGCAAAUUGGUUGUCGUUCUAAACUCUUAGGCCAUGUUUGUUUCCUAAAAAGUAGUUUUUGGGAAAUAAUUUUCCAGACUUUCUUAUGUUUGUUUACUAUUAGAAAAGUUGGUCAAAUGAAAACACUUUCCGGUCAACGGAAAACACUUUUUAGUCAAAGAAAAUUUUAGCUUGGUUUUCAGGAAAGUGUUUUCCAUUUUAGCGGUGUUUAUUUUCUGAAAAGUGGUUUCCAGGAAAUCACUUUCCAAACUUUCUUGUGUUUGUUUGCCAUUAGAAACGUUGGUCAACAGAAAAUACUUUCCAGUGAAAGGAAAAUUUGACUUGGUUUUCAGGAAAGUGUCUUCGUGGAAAAUUUGGGCGGAAAACACGUUCCGAAAGUUGUGAAAAAUUUAGAAAUGUCAUUAUUUGCUGAUUAUAUCAAAUUUGAUCCUUAAACUUUUGAUUGCUAUAUAUAUUUUGUUUUGAAUAUUUAUUUUUCAAUUUCAUCUCUUAAAAUUUUUAUUUUAUAUUAACUUUGGUCCUUAUUUUUAUAAUUGCUAUUUUCUUUUUCCUUAUCAUUUUUUUAUUGAAAUUUUUUAUCUAUCAAAUUUGGUCCUCAUUCUUUUGAUUGUUACUUAAUUUUUUAGAUUUGAUCGAUAUUAUUUUGAUUAUUAUUUAUUUUAUUUGAGAUAAUUUAUGAAAUUAUAUUUAUUUUUUCAAUUUCAUUCAACUUUUUAAUUUAUAAGAUUUGUUCCUCGUUAUUUUAAUAAACUUGAGAAAAAUAAAAUAUUAAUAAGUUAUUUUCCAACUCAUUUUCCAUGACAUAACCAAACACUGGAAAAUGUUUUCCAACUUAUUUUCCAUUACACUACCAAAUAUCGGAAAAUACUUUCUCGGAAUUCACUUUCCGAAAAGAAACUACUUUCCAACAAACAAACGGGCCUUAUAGUUAAUAUAGUUACCUUGAGAGGCCAGUAGUCUCUGAUGCACUUCAGAUUCCAUAGAGAACUCCUCUUCAUUACCUUCACCGAUUGUGGCAUUGAAAAUUGGACUCGAGUUUGCUUUCAAGAAAGGCAGCUGCAGAAGCAGAUGUGAUCACCAAAACAAGCAGGAUAGUUAAAGAGAGCCACCAGAGGAAUUCAAUACUUACGUUAGGCCUCGUCUCUUUCUGUCUGUACCCUUCUGUUACAGAGUUUGAAGAGCACUAAAUAAACGUCACUGCGAAGAAUGCUUCGAACUCUGGAUAUGGAGUGAAAGGCUAGCUUUUUUCCAUUGACUUGCUUUUUUUGUGAAGACUUAGGUCUUCACAUGAAUGUGAUUUUGAUGUUUUAUACUAUCUUAAUCUAAUAAUUUAAAUUAUUAGAUAAAAUUAUAAAAUAUGAUAUAUAUUGUUCAAGAAUAUUUGACAAAACAUCCAGCCACUUAUAUAUAUAUAUAUAUAUAUAUAUAUAAGAUCAGGACCAUAAUCUGGAUUUUCGUUAGUGAAUUCAUCCUCAUCGGAACUUGAUAUUUCAUAUAAGGCUUCUUGGAGUUUUUUCUUGUAUUCUGACGUUGAGCUUGAUGAUGCAAGGUUUUCUUGAAUUCAACUUUUAGAGGUGAGAAACGUAAAUUGCCUUCUUGAGAUAGAGUUGAUGGGUAUGCUUGCAGCUAUGGAAUUUGAUGUGAUGAGAUUAUUGCCAAGCAUGCACAAUUUCAGAACAAGCUUGAGCUUCUCUGAAUUUGGGUCCACCAUUUGACUUUGAUUUUUCUCAUGAGAUCUAAAGAGUAACCAAUAUCUUUAUUUACAUCAUUCAUUAUAAUGGAGUCCCAAGAUAGCAUGAGACACCAAAGGUUGAGAUGAAAUAAAAAGAGGUAGGAAUUGAAUUCAAAGGUAUUUUUACUGUAAGCAAUUCCAAUCCUUUGUAUGAUUUUUUAGGGAGAAUCUCACUUAUUGAAGAAAAAUAUUGCCAUCAAUUGUUUGACAACUAAGUUGGAAAAUUCUUUGGAAAUGUUUUGAGAAAAUCUUUCAAGGUGCAGGGUUUUGAUUCAUCUCUUGAAAGGUUAAAACCUUUUGAAUUUUUAUUUUUGAAAAAACAAGAUUGUUUACAUCUUGAUUAUGAGUUAUUUCAACAAAGUCAAUAUCAACCAAAAUAAACUCAUAGAAUUGUUUUGUUUUCAACAUAUUUUCUAAAAUAACUUGAAAAUAAUAGCUUCUUGACUUGAAAGGCUUAAAGCUUUUUUUAGGAAAAAUUUGGAGGGUAAUUAACACAAGUGAAAGUACAAGCAAUGGGACAAUAGCGAGAAAAAGAAAAUUAAUAGUUGAAAUAGAGUAGAGCACAUGAAUUCUAAUUUAUAGUUUUAUUGAUGAAGAGAAAAAUUCACUAUUUCUUUUGCCUCUUUAUGAUGUUUUCAACUUUUUAAAUAAGCUAAAAAAAUCAAACUAAUCAAACUAGAAAACCCUAAAAUAAAGAAAAAAAAUAUUAAAAUUCCUAAACAAACUUAGAGAAAUAAAAUUACUAUUCUCAAUAUUUAAUUUCCUAAACUAAAUAGAAAAAAUAAAAUCACCGAAAAUAUUUUCCUAAACUACAUAGAAAAUAAUAAUAACUAAGAAAUUUUAAUUUCAUAAAAACCCUUGGCAUCAACAAUAAUGUUGUAAAAGGUGUAUUAAUUUUGGGAUUGAACAAACAAGGGAGUUUGGAGAGAUUAAGAAUAAUUUAUAGGUGAGGUGUUUGGACUAGAUCAUGCUGAUGAAAGGAUUCAAAAUUGAUUAUUUAAGACACUAGCCCCAAGGAGGUCAAACCCUCCCUGAAAUAAAUUAAUAUCUUGAAUGCUUGAUGUUGUGGUUUGAAUUGGUCUUGAUGGUGUAAGAGCAUAUGAUUAUUUUGACUUAUUUUGAGCCUAGUAAAGACUCUUUGGAUAAAAGACUCUUUUACUUCUUUCAUUAAUUCAAUCUCCAAAUCAUAUUUUAAUAAAUUAUCUUGUUACCUGGCAAAACUUUGUUUUGACACAAUAUUUUGAAUAUUUUUUUCAACAACUUAUUUUACAUAUUGACAAUUUAUUUGUAAAAGAAAUUUCUGGAAAAUAAAUCAUCUUGAAAAUAUUAGAUGUAUAAAAUAAUUAAUAAAAUUUUCUUUUUGAUAGUUGAAUAAUUUUCUUGAGGAUCCAACCAAAUACCUAAAUGAUAUUGCACUAUAUGUUAUUGACUUUGAAAAUUUUGUUUGAGAAUACCACUGUAACUAAUAUCAAAGGCAUCGGUUUCAACUAUAAAAAAGGCCUCUAGAUCAUAAAGUCUUAAACAUGAAAACUCUUGACUUGACUUUUAAGAGUAUUCACAAUUUUGAUCAUUUGAUGAUUGAUUUUAGACAGGAGGGUUUUUCUUAAGUCUUUUGUACAAAGGUUGACAUAUAGUUCUAUGAUUUGGAAAAAUAUCUAAAACAUAAUCGAGGCAUCCCAUAAACUUUUAAAGCUAGGUUUUACCCUUGAUCUUAUUUAUGAAUUUAAUGGUAAAUUUUAUUAUAGUGACAAGGGUUAUUGAUAAAUUAUAAUUUUUAAGGUUGAGAAAACUAAUCUAUUUUGUUUGAUAAUAUUAAGAAACGUUUGUAAGUUGUUGAAAUGUUUGGUUAUUAGUUUUAAAAAUAAAAGAACAUCAUCUAUGUAUAUAAUCAUAAUUUUGAAUAUAGAUUAAAGAUGUCAUUCAUGAUGCUCUGAAGUUUUGAAGGAGUAAUUUUUAGUUCGAAAGACAUUAUAUCUCAUUUGUAAUGACCAAAUGAAAUAAUGAAUGUUGUUUUAUAAUGAUUUUUUUAAUCAAUUUAGACUUGUUAGAAUCUUGAUUUCAUAUCAAUUUUUGAAUAUAUUGAAGAAUUUUAAAGUCUUCUGAUAAGAUCUCUCUUAUUGUGUAUUGGAUAUCUAAUAUAUUGGAGCACUUUGUUGAGAGGCUUGUGAUUUAUGACAUGUAUUAGUGCAUGAUUAGUACUUAAAAGUGUAUUUUAUCAAUGUUUUAUAUUAUCAUUUUGUACUUGAAGUAUCAAUAACUCCUUAACUAGAGCAUGUUUUAUAAUAACAAGUCUGAUAAUAUAAGAUAACUUUAAUUUAUGGUAAAUGCUCAUUUUAAAUACAGACAUAUCUCACAAUUCAAAGGAUUGAUUGCUGUGAUUAACUAUUGAAAGUGAAAAGACAAAGAAAAGGCUAAGCUUAGAAAGGAGAUGCAGAUUCAAUUCAAAUUGGAACACUGUUAAGUUAUUGGGUCAUAUCUGGAGCUACAGUUCUUGGAUUUCAGUUUGGUUUAUAUGGCUAGAAAAAUAAGAAAUAGGCUUACAAUGUUCAUGAAUAGUGAAAGACCCAAAUCUUCCGUUUUCAAAUUCAAAGUUUGGCCACAAAAGAGAAGUCAGAAUCUGUCAUACAAUCCAGCCCAAACACUUCUCAUACUUUUACCCAUAGCUGGAGUUUUAAAAGGAAAAAUGAUGUCAAAUUUGGUGGCUAGAAGGAUAAGACAAUUUCCAAAAACUUUCAUGAAGACGACCUGCUCCAAUUCUGAUGUUAGAAAUGACAUUUCAUCCAGACAAGAGCUUGAGGGCUGUCCAUUACGUCCACCAGAAGCACUACUCAAUAUUUUAGCCAUAUCUCAAUCUCUAGUGAUCCAAAUGCUCUAAAAUUUUAUGGAUGGAAAGAUGAGAUGAUUGCAGACAACUUUUAUGAAGAACACUUUGCCAAAUGUUGAUUGAAUCAAUGUCAUUUCAUCCAGCCAAAAUGCUUAAGUGUUAUUGUCCACCAAGUCCACUAAAUCAAUAGUUGGCCACUACAUCAAUAAUCAAUUACCAAAUGAAUAGUUCCGAAUUUUAGCCUAUAAAAGGAGACAAUUGCAAUUCAUUUAGGCAUCUUGGUUCUUAGAUCAAGAUCAUGUUCUUGCUCUCUCUUUAAAUUUUUGUAAUGCUUAAGUUUUGCUUUCAUUAAUCUCUUGUUUAUGCUUUUCAUUUUCUUUACUAUACUUAGUUAACUUAUAUCAUGUUUAUGUUCAUAUAUUGUUUAUUUAUGUUUUUAUUUUUCAUAAUGUCGAGCUAAGUUAAUUAUGUCAAGGUGAAAAGGUUUCACUAAUGGUGUUAGAAUAUGUAUAAUAUAAACUCAAUAUGGACUUCAAUGUUUAUAUCCAAGAAAGUUUGUUAUUAAUAUGUCAUAUCUUUUUAUCUUAUUAAUUCUUAAUACCUUGCUUGUUAAAUGGUUAAUCUAGAUUUGUGUUGUAUAACACUUGGUAAAUCAAAUGCUUGAUCCUUCAUAGUCUUCGGUCAACAUCAUUGUUAUGAGAAGAACUUGAUUUGUUGUUAACAUAAGUUAACAUCAUGAAUUCCUGAUAAUAUUUAAAAGUAUGGUGUUACUAAAAUAAGAUAAUUAAUAUGAUCAUGUUAAAAAUUUAUAAUUAACUUUUACGGAUAAAUCAUCCGAUUGGAACCUCCUUUGUGUGUGGUUUCCAAUUGAGUAAUAAAAAGAGUUUAUACUAUACUUAUUUCUAAUACCAUUAGUGGACCCUCUAACCUUGACAUUUAUUUGUAUUAUUGUUUAAUCCUCACAUUAAUCUUAUAUCUCAAAGAUCUCUUUAUAUAUAUAUAUAGUUAACUUUCCUGUGGAUCGACCCCGGUCUUGCUGAGUUAUUUAUUACUUUGACACUCCUUCACUUGAGAGAAGACAUCAAUCUUUUUGUCAUGUCAAUGCACUUCUUUCUAUUUCAGCUUGAUUCCAGACAUAAAAAGGUGGCACAUAACCAUGAUGAUUUACUAGGGCUUAUAAGACACUUUUUGAUUAAUUUGAGGUAAUUUCCAAUUAUCAUUGUACGUGACUUUAUCUCAUUAUCAAAGUUUAGGAACUUGAAUGUUUGAAUUUUGAGAGUUAGCUUUAAUAAGGAGAGUUUAAUUUAUAGAUGAAUUUUUGAGAGGUUUUGGAGCUAUGUUUGUAUCCAUGAUUUUGUAAUAUAUUCUAUAGAUGAUGACUAUAUUCAUGGAAUCUUGAAGCAUAUCAGUACGAGUCUUAACAAGUCUCAAUAUUUAGAGCUAAGGUUUUCACUAUAAUAUCUAGGUUGAAUAAUGAGAUAGUGAAAUUUCGAUAACAAUUCAAGUAUGUAGAACCAUUAACAAGAUUUGAUUGAAAGAUUGUAAGGAGUGAGUUUGAAAAGGUCAUAAAUUUGUGGUCUCUUGAAAACAUAAGUAUGGGAGAGUCUAAUCCGAGAUGAUGAAUUGGUUUGAGUACAAUCUGUAUUAGACGGUGAUCAUUUUCGGUUUGGUUUUUUUAAAAAAACCAAAACCGGUUCAAACCGACCGGUUUCAGUUUGACUCGGUUUUUUCUGGUUUGGAUAUGUUUUUUUCGAUUUAGGUUUGGUUUGGUUUUUCAGUUUCAAACUUAUAAAACAAAAACCAAACCGAACUGGUCGGUUUUUCUGGAAAGAUAUAAUUGUUUCAAAUUGUUUGAUGAAGGCUGGUCUAGAUCAUAAAUAAUUGUCAUUACACAGUGCCGGUCUAACUUGAAAGAUGUUAAUGCCCCAUUAAUUGCGACGCCUAAGCUCAUAAACGAUAUCCAUGAAUUAUGAUGACCAUUAAGGAAGCUCAUAGGAACUCCUUAAUUUCAAGUUGCUUCUUAAUUUGUCUUCUUGGACAUGCAUGUGAUCUAAAGGAACAAAGGGAAAUUAAAUGCUUAAGCAUGAAUGUGAUCGUUCUAUAUAUGUUCGUCUUCAAGCUUUGAAAUUUUUAUAGCUCAAUUAUUAUAAUUUUUUUUAAUUUUUUUAUGUGGGAAAAGAGUAUCAAAAUUGUGGGAAAUAUAUAUUAGAAUAUUUCAUGGACUGCACUGCUCUAUGAUUGUGCAUUUAUAACCCAAUUAUUAUUAUUUUUUCUUUUUCCUGUUGAUUGCAUUUUGGAAUCCAUUUGAUUAGACAUAAUUUGAACUGGAAGAAUGAAUUGGGUUCACCUUCAUUUGUUCUGUUUUAAUGUGACUGAGAGCCUUAUUUUUUUAAAUGUAUUGUCACUCAUUUAGAUACUGGCUAAGUAGAGUUUGCAGUCAGAUUAACAUACAGUAUGCAUUCAUUCCAUUAAACCCUAAUGGAGUGAAUGAAUAAAAUGACUUUUAUUAAAUGUUCCUCUACUACUUGGAUGCUGAACUGGAGUAUUGGAGGUUCCCACAUUGCCCCAUUGUUGGUAUAUUCACCACAAGAAUUCACAGUUUUAUCGAGGGCAAUAUUCCGUCGGUGUGUGAUUGAUAGUACUUCGGUAAAUUAUUUACCGACUAAAUUACCGACAGAAUACGUCUGUCAGCUUACCUUUCAUCGGUGAUUCCACAUUCCGUCGCUUUAUUGAUCGGAAAAACAAAAAAAAUCAUUUACCGACGGUUUUACAGACGGAAUUUGCGUGCCAAAAAAAAAAAGUUUCCCGCUUCAAAAAUACCGACGGAUUUUUAUUCCAUCGGUGAUAUCACAAGUCACCGACGGUUACUUUCCGUCGGUAAAUUAGUCGGUGAAUUGUUGAAAUACCGAUAGAAUAUAUUGUCUGUCAAUUCGUCGGUAACUUGUAAUACCGACGAAAUUAUUCCAUCGGUAAAUCUGUUGGUGAGUCAUGAAAACACCGACCGAAUUUAUCUGUCUGGAAAUUUGUCGGUGAUGGUUGCGGCUACUGUCUAAUACCGACGGAUUUAUUCCGUCGGUAAAUCCCUUUAUAAUUUUUUUUCUAUUUUUUUUAAUAAUUAUUUAGAAUACAUAAUAUAAAAAGGAUAUAAAUUAAUGGUAAUAAAAACCAAUUAUGCAAAUAAAAUUUAUAUUAAGCAUCAAAAACAAAAAAUGAAAGAUAAAUAAUAUUCAUUACAAAAUGAAAUGUUUCAAAAAAACAUUAAAUGAAAUUUUAAAUGUAAAUAAUGUUUAUUAAAAAUUAAUAUAGAGGAGGAGGAGGUGGAGGACGCUGGCUGUUAGGCGGCCAAAAAGGAUUGGGUGCACAUGUUCCACCUUGUGCCAUGUUCAUGACUAUUUGACGAAGCUCUUCAUAGGUCGCUCAUUAUUGUUCAGAAUCUGCUCUGCAUUGUUCUUUGAGUUGUGUGUACGCCUCUGACAGGUGGUCGCACUUUUGCUGCAAGGCCAUGAACUCCUUAGAUUGGGAGCUCGAUACUGAUUGGGAGCUCCUGACGGUUGAAGCAGUAUGGGUCGUCCGCAAGUUGUCGGUCGUAGUGUUGGAGAGCCCGUAAACCCGAUUUUUAUCGAGUCCACUUGAUGAUCCAGCCUCCAUCCACAAAUCCGGAUCGAAUUCCGGAUGGGUCGAAGGAUCGUCCCUGUAUGUCUCCCUCAACCGAUUAUUAUAGGUCUCCUGAAAAUAAAAUAAAAAGUAAUCAUCAUAUUCAAUUCAAUAAACAUAAUAAUAACUUACAAAAUAAAAUUGUUGAACAAACAUACCACAAAAUGUUGAGCACGGCUGUCAACGAACUGUUGCACCCCCUGUUGGCGGUCUUGACUCCGCACGUGCGUCUCCACAAAUAGCUCCAUAGGGCUCGGCUCACGUCCAAGAGACAUAGCCUAUAAUGAAAAAAAUUUAUUAACAACAAAUUAAUUAAACGAUAUAUUUCAUUUAAAUUAAUCUUACCAUCCGUUUUGCAUGUGCAGCAAACGGAACGGAGCCGCCGGUGUGCGUUGUCACCGAGCCAUGAAUUGGCAGAUUCCAGUUGCCAGCACCGGACUAUGAGCAUCGUGUGAACUGCUCAGACGUCACGUGCUGAAUAUAGUGCGGCCAUAUAUCUUCCGGGAAGUAUAUCGGUUUGAAAUCCCUCCAAACCGCAACAUCGUUCCAGCCUUGGAACCCCCUAUCCCUCGCAGGUUUUUUUGCCUUUUUUUAGGCUUCGUACCAAAAAUCACGCAACCUACUUCACGCAAGCAAAAAUUACAUUUCGAAACAUAAAUUUUUUUGUAAAAAAAAAAGUUGUAUUGUUUUCGUUGUUACCUAGUUGCUGCGUGAUUUUCCUACACCCUCCUCACAACAGUGUUAUAUUCCUCGUUCCAACAUAAUCGAUUAUGUGUAUAAAAAAAUAAUUUUUAAAAAUGUUAAUAAUUUAUUUACAAUUAUAUUAAGAAUUUAUUAGAAAUAAGCUGAAAAUUAUAUAUAACACGAACCUGAAAUCUGGAAAACCAUGGAUUGAUUUGAGGCAUCCAUUCAGGAUGCCUGGUUAUCUGACUCCAAUGAAACAAUGGAUUCUCCAUCGAUGAUUUAAACACCGCUGAUAUUACUCGGGCGACCUCAAUGUUUGUGAACCUGAAAAGAAAUGAAAUUAAUUAAAUAGUGACUUCAUAAAUUAUGUUUUUAAUUUUUUUUUUUAAAAAAACUAAAACCUUAACAAACUGACAUUGAAAGAUCGUCUUUUCAUUAUGCCUUGUACUUGCAGGAAAAUCGAUUUCGCUGUGAAGGCACGCCGCUUUUGGGCUGUGAAACAACGCUGGAAGAGGCAGCAUCGGUUGACAGCACAAGUGGUGUAGGUGCCUCUUCUUGAGAGUCACCUAAGGAAAUAUCUUCCUCGCUGCUAGACGAACCUGAUGCGUCCGGACGUGAAGCUCUGGUUUUCAUUCUGUGCAUCUAACCAGUUUUAUAUAAAUAAUUAUAUAAUUAAAUUGAAAUGUUAAAAAAAAAUUCGGCAACACCUCCCCUAUACUAGAUACUACCCAAAUCCACAAACUUGCAAAUAUUAACAAUAGCCACAACCAAUUGACCCAAUCUAUACUAAUUAUUCCAACAUAUUCAAUUACAAAUCCUAAGGUCAAUUCAACAUUAACAAUUACAAUUCAACAAAUUAUUCAAUAAUUAUGCCAAUACAACAAUAAAAUAUAUUCAAUAAAUUAAAAAAUAAUUAUAAACUAAAAAUUAAAAUCAAUGGAAACAAUUAAACACAAAUUAUGCAAUAAUAGAGUAAAAUUACUACGUAUUCCAACAUAUCCAAUUACUAAUUCUAAGGUAAAUUCAACAUUAACAAUUAUAAUUCAACAAAUUAUUCAAUAAUUAUGUCAAUACAACAAUAAAAUAUAUUCAAUAAAUUAAAAAAAUAUUUUAAACUAACAAUUAAAAACAAUGAAAAUAAUUAAACACAAAUCAUGCACUAAUAGAGUAAAAUUACUAAUUAUUACAACAUAUGCAAUUACUAAUUCUAAGGUAAAUUCAACAUUAACAACAAAUAUUCAACAAAUUAACUAAUAACAAUUAUGCCAAAACAACAAUAAAAAAUUUUCAAUAAAUUUUUUUAAAAAAACUAUAGACUUUAGGGAAGAAAUAUGCAUACCUUAAUAAUGUGUUGAAACAAAAAAUUUAUCUACAUUACAAAAAAAUACAACAAAACAAAAAACAUAAAAAGCAUAAAAAUAACUAUAAAUAAAAUAAAAUAAAAUAGAAAAAACACACAUACCUUUUAAUAUGAUGAAGAUUCACAACCAAGCUUGCUAGAGAUUCAACAAAGCUUGAAGAUUUGAGAGGAAAAAAAUCAAAAUUCUAAGAACUUAUAGAAACCUUAGGUCUAUUUUCACGGGCGACAAGCCCACCCAUACUCACUCUGGUCUAUUUUCACAGGCGACCUGCCCACACUCUCACAUUGGUCUAUUUUCACGGGUGACCUGCCCUUUUUAUUGGGUUUACCUAAGAUCCCAUCUUGAGAUCUAACAAGAACAAAAAUCGGUGUGUAGCUCGAUCAACCUGAAAUCCCAUCUAGUAAUUCCCUUUAGCUAGAGCCAAGGUCUGUGCGGUUAGACUGAACUGAGAUCCCUUCGCCGAUCCCCUUCAACCAGAACCAAAAUCCUUUCCAAUUAGGUUAAACUGAGAUCCCUUUGCCGAUCCCCUUUAACCAUAACCAAGGAAUGUGUGGUUAGACUGAACUGAGAUCCCUUCGUCGAUCCAUUUCAACCAGAACCAAAAUCCUUUCCAAUUAGGUUAAACUGAGAUCCCUUUAUCGAAAAUUAACCAACCAAGGAAUAGUUAGACUGAACUGAGAUCCCUUCGUCGAUCCCCUUCAACCAGAACCAAAAUUUUGGUUAAACUGAGAUCCCUUCGUCGAUCCCCUUAACCAUAACCAAGGAAUGUGUAGGGUUGGGCUAGACUGAGAUUCCUUUCGGCAAUCCCCUCUAACCAGAACCAAAAUCCUUUCCAAUUAGGUUAAACUGAGAUCCCUUUGCUGAUCCCCUUUAACCAUAACCAAGGAAUUAUGUAGGGUUGGGCUAGACUGAGAUUCCUUUCGGCAAUCCCCUCUAACCAGAACCAAAAUCCUUUCCAAUUAGGUUAAACUGAGAUCCCUUCGUCGAUCCCCUUUAACCAUAACCAACGAAUGUGUGUAGCUCGGUCAACCUGAAACCCCAUAUAGAGAUUCCCUUUAACCAAAGCUACAUGAGAUCCCAUCUAGCGACCUCAUUCAACUGGAACAAAAGAAUGUGUAAAAAGUGGUCUCAUUAUAAUGGGUGACCUACCCAAGUGGAAAGGAGGAAGAGUGGUCUCAUUCUUAUGGGUGACCUACCCAGGGGGAAAGAAUAUGAAGUGCGGUCUUAUUAUAAUGGGUGACCUACCCAAAAUGGAAAAAAUAUAAAGUGUGGUCUCAUUGUAAUGGGUGACCUACCCAGAUGGAAAGAAUAUGAAAAAGUGCGGUCUCAUUGUCAUGGGUGACCUACCCAGAUGGAAAGAAUGUGAAGUGCGGUCUCAUUGUAAUGGGUGACCUACCCAGAUGGAAAAAAUAUCAUGAAGUGCGGUCUCAUUGUCAUAGGUGACCUACCUAGAUGGGAAAAAUAUGAAAAAUGGUCUUAUUAUGACGGGCGACCUACCUAGAUGGAAAGAAUGUGAUAUGACAAGUGUGAAAAAUAGGACUUACCUGGCGAAGUCUUGAGGGGAUGACAGAAGAUGGGCUGGAAAACUUGGUGCUUCAUGAUAAUCCCCGAUCAUAGGGUUUGAAAACUUGGUGUUUCCUGACUGCAAGAGUUGAAAACUCGAGGCUUCACGAUUGCAAGGUUGAUCUCUUCAUUUCUUUGGGAUUUUCCUAAUGGCAAGGUUCAUCCCAUCAUCCUUUUAUUCCAUGAUCAAAAUCGAUUCUUUAUUAUCAUCACCAUAGUGCUUCUUUCUUUUUUCAACAUCUUGCUGGACCUCAUUAAGGAUUUUCCUGUAACAAUUCAAAAAUAUAUGCAAAUGGUUUUUUUUUUUUUUAAGGUUAGAUGAUAUGCAUGCAUCCUUACCUGAUUUGAAAUAUAGGUCCCCCCCUCUUUGAUGCUCCAUCGUCAUAGGGUGCCCUUGUUUGUAUCCCAAAACUUUCUUUGUUCUUCCGAUACAUUGGCUCAUUCAUGUGCUAGCCAUCCACUCAGCUGUAAAUGCAGUGCCCAUCCCGAGCUGUUUUUGACAAUUACUGCUUGCAUCGUUCAUCAAGCUUGACCCUUCCCCCAAGUGUGGUACUGCUUGAUUCAUCAUGAAGGAUUUUCUCUCCUGGCUUCUUCUAAGAAUUAUCCUCUGAUUGAUUGUGUGCAUCAUGCCAAUACCCAUCAAGAUUGUUAAUCAGUCAUGAACUUGCCUCUAGUUGAAACAAUACUGUUCAAGUACAUGUUAUCAUUAGCCUUCUUGGAACUCAUUCAGUCAUCCAGUCAUGCAUCUCAUAGCUUGCACUACAAAGGCUCAUGGUUGUAUGCUCAGUGUUCUUCUUAAUAGAUUCCCUUCAACUCAGCCUCAUCAAUGAUGCUGCUUUUAUCACUCAUACUCAUGCAGUGAAGCACUCAUCUGGCUUCAAAACAAGUUAUCCCACAGUCAGUCUUCGAGGUGGGUGCCUUUCUGACAUUCAUUCAAUGCAGUUGUGUGAUAACAUCUUCCGAUAAACAUGUUUCAAAGGAUGACAAUAUGACAUUGUCCUUUAAGUGAAGCAUUGUUCCACAGUCAGUCUUGGUGGUAUGCAUCUUUUCUCCAUUCAAUUACAUUCAUCUGUGUAUCUUCAUCGAUCGCUAGCCAUGUUUCAAAAAUGAUGAUAUGAAAGUGUCCUUCAAGUACAUCUUGUUUCUCCAUUGCCGACAGGGUUCACUAAGCAUGGGCCAUUUUGGAAUGACAUUGCCCCCAGUAUGAUCUGAAUGUGCUCGUUCAUUGAUUAUCUGUCUUUGAACAUCAUUGUCUUCAGUUCACUGAUUCAUCAUUUAAUCAUUGCCUCAUAGCUGAUCUGAGCACUGCUUGUUUUUCCUUUUCAAGGUCUACUGUAUUGCCCCCAGCUGCUCAACUUUUCAAGGAGUGUCGAGGACUUCAAUGUCAUUUCUAUCAACGAUUUUGCAUACUCAAUCAAUGUUCUUCUGUGUUUGAUAAUCUUCCUUGUUCUGGAAUCAACUCUCAUAUUUCAAAGAUCAUGUCUAUUCAAAGUCUAGUUUGUUGAAAUGAAAUCAGAGAUGUCCUUUUUGAAAAUCUUUUGAAAAUCAAGCUUUUUGAUCAAAGACCCAACACACGUUAUUCGAAAUACACAGUCCUUUGAUUGUCAUGCAUUUUAAAAACAUAAAUUGACCCAAUGUAGGAUUAAAAAUGGUUUUUUCCAUGGUUCUUUGUAUCAAUUUGAAUCCUUGAUAUUGGGUAUAUCAUUUGAUAGUCUAUGAUGAGGUGACCUUUUCGUGAAUUUCAAAAGCAAGGCACUCAAGUCAACACUUAGGCUUUAUCAAGAAAGGUUGUUUCUCUUCUUAUAACUUGUUUUAUCAGCAUGCAUAAUAACCAAUAGCUUAAUUCAUGAAGUCACGACCCUUAUGGAAAAGCUCUUCAAGUUUUGAGAGCGCCAUUUAUCGGUUCAAAUUGCUUGCUUGAUUAAAAAGGGCUUUUAAAAGCAUGUAAUGCAGGCUAUGGUUCAUGGCUAUGAAAGAAAAGGAAUCUCAAAGGCUCAAAAGGUGUUUGAGGGUUUCAAAGACCUAGGAUCAACAUCAAUUAUUCAUCAACUCUUUUUUAUUGUUGUCUUUAUAGAGGAAACGACAUAUAACCUUGUUAACCUCAAAGAUCAGACUUCACUUAACAUAAGUCAUAAUGCAAAUCCACCUUUCCUUGAUGAAUAACCAACCUUAAUCAUCUGAUAACAUCAGAGGCUUUAUAAUGGACACCAAAAGUCACGUUUAUAACUUAGUCUUUUUUCUGGUAUUGAGUUUUGUUGUGCCUUUCCUUGAUUGAAAUUUCUUUUGCUCUUCAUAGACUUGAUAGGCGUUCUCCUUCCUUUAUCUUUGACUUGUAUUUAAGUGAGGGCAAAUUUCAACUUCCUUUUUUUUCAUUCUCUUUUUUUUCAUAGCCUUCCUCAAAAUUUUCUUAUAUGCCCCCAGUCUAUGUGUUUUCUUUUAUUUCUCUCUCAAUCAUUGGACCUUUGUUCUAAACCUUCCCCUUUAUCCAUUAAUUAUAUCAAUGUCUCCAACAAAUCUCUCAUCUGCCCCCAGUGUGGGGUGUGAUCCUAGUCAUGGUUUUUUUUUAAAGAAAAUACUUUACCAGGCUCAAAAUGGGACUACAAGGGAUAUAAUCUUUAGAAAGUGAAGGGAUAUCAAAGAUGGCCUUUUCUCAUUUCAAGCAAGGUCGGUUAGAACCGAUAAAUUUUGACCCAUCCAGUGUAAUGAUUGGGACUUGUAAGAAUCAUGAUUCACGAGUCCAUAACUACCGAAUCCACUACAUGUCAUUAUGCAUACUGUUAAAACUUAGCUAUAUGAUGUGUGGUUCAGUUUCAGGAGGUAUGAGUUCAAAAUUGUUUAGUCACCUCAUGUCAUUUUCAAGCAUCGAGUCAUUUCUGUAAUCAAAACACUUUUAAUCUUCAGGAUUGAUUAACCUUUAUCGCAUGUUGGAGUUUGAUCAAAAUAUUUUGUCAGAAUAAAAUGCUAAACAUCUGUUGAUUUCAAAACAACAAAGAGACAAAAGCAAGGCAUGUUUCGUUGAAGGAUGAGAUGUGAUCCCAAAACAAAAUGCAGAAUUCCAUAACAAUAUGAUUGAUUGUUCAUCACCAUUCUUGAAUCAGCUUUUCUGGCAAUAUCUGUGUUUUGCCAAGCACUUUCGAUCACAUGUCAUUUUGAAGAUGUUCGGGGGACAAUAUAGCCAAUGACACCCUCCUUCACCGACUCCACUUGUCUCUUGCUCACCAACUUUCGGACUCAAUUCUUGCAAUUCUUGCAAUUGUUCACUUGAAAUGGUUGAGGACCCCACCAUGACAUCAUAUCUCUUGUCUGGAUUAUACCACCUAGAAAACGGUGGUUGCAUGGGAUUUGUCGGAGUCUAGCAAGUCUAGAAUCUGGCAGAUGCUGGCAAAUAAACUCAUAUGACAACUAUUCAAUUGAAAUUCUUGCAACUAUUCCAUUGAAAUGGCCGAGGACCCAACCAUGACAUCACAUCUCUUGUCUUGAUUAUACCACCUAGAAAAUGGUAGUUGCAUGGGAUUUGUCAGAGUCUAGCAAAAGUCUAGAAUCUGGCAGAUUCUGGUAAAUAAACCCACAUAGCAAAGAAUGUCUAUCUUUGGCAAAGACAUUGGAGUAGUCGAUGAUACAACAAGACUUGGUUGGACCAACAUAAUUAAGGUUUUCCAUCGUCAGAUUCUUCUUUUGAUUCAUCUCUCAUCGUUUCUCUAGAAUCCUUGGCAGAACCUUCAAUCUUUCCCAUCUUGAUAGCUUGUUCAAUUUUUGGCAAUCCACACAACUUCAUGUCAAUCUUCCAAUGUUGUUGUUGUUGUUUUAGGAUUGUUGGAAACCCGUCAAUAUCUAGGUAAUCCUGGCAGUGCGCAAAAACAAAAAUGUAUGGAAUCAUAUAUUGUCAAAAUUGGAAGAGAAACUGAUGAAUCCACAACUCCUCUAUUUCCUCUUUGAUUCCUCACUGACGGUGCAACAAACAUCCACUUUUGUGUUUUAAUGCCAAUACUAGUAGGAGAAAAUUGUGGACAAUCUGAAAACCACUGCAUCCCUUCUUGGAUUUCCCAUUUACAGAUCCAUAAAUAGAUUCCUGCCGAGAGAUCUCUGCAACGGUGAAGUUUGAUGUCUGCUCCAUGUUUUUCAAACCAAAUCUGGCUCUUCAACAUGCUACAGUUUCUUCAUGCUGAAACUAAUGAGAGAAAUAUUUGUAGCAUAUGCAAUUAGUAAAUCCUCUCUUGCACUCUCAACUUGCAACAUCAUAAACAGAUUUCUGUAGAGAAAGCUCUGCCACGUUGAAGUUCGACGACUACUCAUAUUUUCAGACCAAGCCUGACUCCUCUGCCUAGUACGAUGUUUUGCUCGUGCCACUGGUGGGAAAAAAGUUUCAAAGCAUAUGAAAUUAAUACAUCCUCUUUUGUAUUUCCCAUUGGCAGAUCCAUAAAUAAAUCUCUACAAAGAGAGCUCUACCACGUAGAAGUUCAGUGUAUGAUCAUGGUUUUCGGACCAACAUCUUGUGCUGCUGACUGAAAUUGAGCUCAUAAUUAGGGUAACUUCAAAGCAGACUAAUGCACCAUGUACAGGAGGCUAGUAGUUGUUUGGUUCCAUUAGAUGAUGUGGAGGCGAUGAACACUUAACAGUGCAACUAGACAAGAACUAGAGUUGUCAUUAGUUGAUGACUGAAGGCAUUGUUGCUGUUGUUCAUGACUGAAAAGGAGAGGCAACUUCAAUUGAACGUGGACAAGCAGUGUUCCCACAGAAGACUGUGUAGACAUUCUCUUUCCAUUUGAUGCUCGACACUUGUUCGAGCAGAUCUGAGUCUAGCUACUUCACCUUUGAUGCUCUCAACCUCAAUCUGAUAAUGAGCCUCUAUCUAACACUUUUCUUCACCUCUAUCAUUUUUCUUCAAUCACGUGCAGCACAGCUUGUGCGGGGGACCUACCUUUCAACCUGGUACAUGCAUGAUAAAUGUAUGAAUAUGUAAUCUAUAUGACAAACUCGCCCUUCGAGGGGUGACAUAUGGUCGCAACUCUUGUAUGAUGAAACAAGAAUCUUGAUUCUUGCACAAACUCUACAAUGAAAAUGUUCUGAGCGACGGUCAUUGUGUCACCCAUAAGUCUGGAGUUCAAGAUGCUUCAAAAAGGGCUUGCUCGGAUGCAAAACAAUGUAUACGGAGCAUACAUCCUAAAGGUAGAUUCUAAUCUUUUUAAGUGAGACAAAAGGUAGGAUAUCAUCUUCUUCAUCGACAUUUGCUUGUCCGCUAGAGCUCAAAACAACGUUCAACUCCUCUACGUCAACAUCAACAAGACUAUCAUCGAAAACACGAAAAUUUGAAUUUUCUUCCAAUUCAAUCGAAGGAGCAACUCGAUAUGGUUCAACCAACUCACUAACUUGAAAGACUUCAUCCCACACACUUGUGUCUUCGUUCUCAUCCUAAACAACCUCGACACGACCCCGUGGUUUUGUUUUUAAAACGAACAACCAAUCAACUCUUGAUCGAUCCUUUCUAAAUGAAGGGGUGUAUGUGUAAUAAACUUGUUGACAUUACUUUGCGAAAACAAAGACAUCGUUUAUGUUGCAGAGUCUAGCUUUUGAGUUGAUUUCGACUAGACCAUGGUGUGUAUCAACUCUGAUUCCUCUGUCCGUCGUGUCAUACCAAUAGCGUUUGAAUAAAAACACUGUAUUCUGCUCGCUAUGAUAUUGUAGUUCGACGACCUCUUCUAAUCUUCCAUAGUAGUCAACUUUUAACUCACUACUUGUGGAUCCUUUAACACAAACACCACAGUUGUAUGUCUUUCUUCAUUGCCCGUAUUCUUCAGUAUGGAAAACAUAUCCAUUGACAAAAUACUUGUUAUAGCACUUAACUUUUCUUUCAGGCCCGAGGCUUAGUGAAGGCAAUGACUUAGACGCACUUCUUCCCAUUUGAUAAACCUUGUAUACAUGUAAUGUACAUCAAUAAACGGUAAAUGAACGAGAAUCUUGUAAUGACAUGCAUACGUACAGUAAUUUUGCAAGUUAGAAUGAGUUUGUGAUAGUGCUUACAUGUGUUCUAAACCAUGUGGCAAAUUGUUCAUCUUGUAAUUGAAAGAUCUGGGAGUCGGUCAGCUGCGAGUUAUUGGAGAGCAAAUAUUGUCGAUGUUGCCUGCAAGUGAUAAUGAGUGUAUGAUUUCACAAUAUAUAAUUAGCAGUAUAUUACUGACAAAGUUUAAAUAGUAUUACACAUAUAUAAACUUACUGAAUAAAUGGUCUUAACUCUUCACAGUUAAAUAGAACAUAGUUGUGUGCUUGUUUGAAUUCUAUUUCCGACAAAUAUCUUCCUCUUGUCGCACGUCAAAAACAAAUCCGUGCGCGGCAUCGACUGGCGAUUAUUCGUUCUGUUUUGCUGAUUUGGUUCUUUAGAGUCGCCACCUAGUAAUUCAUUGAGGGCUACUAGGAAACCUGAUGUACUGGACUUGUCAGAGAUCGCGGGUAAGGGACUGGUUGUGGUUAGGGAAGGUAUUAGCACCCCUAACGCACCCUACCUGAGGUAAGCUGCUUUGUGGACUUGAUGUGUUAAAGAAGUUUUAAAAAUUAUGUUCUUUCAUCGAAUUUUAGAAAAUACAACUUACAUGUAAGUUCAUAAUUCUUUAUCCGUGAUCAAAUCAGAAUAUUAAAUUCUUCUUUAUUCUUGCAAUUUUAUCAUAAUAAAAAAAACAUUCAUAAACAAAAAUACACACCACAUUCACUUUCAAGCUUUGUGGACUUGAUGUGAUAUUAAAAAUAAAAUUUUAGCCCAAUUAUAAGGCUUUGAUAAAUCAGUUAUUACUUUUCCAGACUAUUAUGUAGAUACAUGUUCUACAUUUCCAUGGAAAAUUCAACAUGAUUUUUAUCUGUCCUUUAGAUAUUUGUGCAUAUAAAAUAAAUUCCUUUUUUUUUAUUCAAUAACAUUCAAAAAAAAAAAUACAAGCACACAAACAUUUUUUUUAUUAUUAUUAUCACUUUCUCUGUCUUUUCUUUUCUUUUCUUUUACAUCCUUUUUUUUGUUCUUUUUAUACAUUACCUUACAAAUUAUAAAAACAAAUCAAACUAAAUAAAAAUGACAUUACAUAAUUUACAAUUUACAAAAACAGUCCCUAAACUCAAGAAAUUGCAUUGAAGGACACUGCCGGAACUGCCCUGAACUUGUGGCGGCGCGUCUUCCCACGUGCCACCGUCACUGGCGGCGCGUGAAUCUAGAAACAGCGGGAUCUGGUUCGGCUUCUCUCCUUCUUCCUUUCCUCGCCAGCGGUGAGCAACGCCGUCACCUGUAGAACACAAAAACGCAAGCAACAGUCUGUUUUAGUUAAUUUUUAGAUCUGUUUUCCAUCAUUAUCUGCUUCCCUUUCUUCUUUCUCCGGUCUAUUCUUGGGGAUUCACCAUCUUCUUCUCUGCUCAGGUAGUCGGGCGGCGGCUGGUUGAUGGUGGAUCUAUGGCCGGAUGUGGACGGCGCUGCUGGAGGAAGGCGUUGCUGCCUGAUUGUCGGUUGCGGUUGGUGCUGGACCUGUGGGGGCUGCCGUUGAAGGGGCUGGAAGUCAGAUCGUCUGAGAGAGAGGAGUGGUGGUUGAUUCUCCGUACCUGGCGAGAAGAAAAGGAAGUCUGAUCUGGGAGGAUCGGCCGGGGAAGCGGCUGAAGGAAGAAGAAAAACCGAAUCUAGAGGGGGGGAAACGGCGACCAGUUUUGAAAGGAAGCAGGUUCGGUUUUGGCCAGCGUUAUGAUCACGAUCGGUGAUGGGGUUCGGUGAGGAGGGGAAGAUCGGCUGUGGAGUGUGGUGGUGAGCGGCUGAAAAAAUCAAAGAAAAGGGGGCUCUGGUGAGGCCAAGAAGGAAAAAUUGAUUCGCCGGCUGUAAAAGGGAGAACCGGUUUUGGUUUGGGUGUGUCUGUGUUUGGUGCCAUGUCAUGUGCUCAGUAGUCCUUCGUGACAUGAAUAACCUCUGCAGUCUAGGUGUGAUCGGGAAAUAUCUAAGUUUUUCCCCUGCCAGUUCUGGGUUUGUAACGGGAAUACCCGCAUGUCAUGCACUCGGUCAUCUCAGCAUUUUCAAGGUAGUAUAACAUGUAGAAGUUAGGGCACAUGUCAAUUUUAUGGUAUCCUAAACCAAGGGGUUUCAUCAUGGACUUCGCAACAUAGAAGUUCUCUUUCAGCCUGUUCACUUCAGGUAAAAUGCUUCUUGCCCAAUCAAUAAUUUUUUCAUACCCGGCCUCACUCAGCCCGUGAUCUGACUUGAUGGUGAACACCUGUGCCACGGGCGACAAUUUACUGUGGUUUGUGCAGCCAUCCCAUAAUGGUUCGUCAGAAUCUUUCAACAAAUCAAAAAACCUAGCUGCCUCUGCAUUAGGUUCUUUUUCUACGAUUGGACAUUGAUUGACAUUACCUUGAUUCAUUCUCAUUGCAUCCAUAACCACAUUUCUGUAAGGAUUAGUGUUGUCAUUUCGCUUCAUGCACGUUGCUAGCACUAGAAGUUGACCCAACCACCGUUUCUCUCAUUCUCCUAUUACUAACAAAUACCUCUCCAUGUGCAUACCAACACUGGUAAUCCUCAAACCCUUUGUGUAGAAGAUGCAUCAUUACAACAUCUGGAUGCAGAUACUUUUUAUUUUGACACUUCCUGCAUGGACACCUAAUACCGCCUCCAGUAAAAUUUCUGGGAAUAGAUGUUGCGAAAUUAAUAAAACCCUGAACCCCGUUACAAUAAUCCAUCCUCCGCAAUCCUUGGGUGAAUCUAGAUACAUCCAUGAACGAUCAUCCAUGACUUCUAUCGAACCUCUAUAAAAUUAUGAUGACAUCAUGUAUUAAUUAACUAAGUUAGGUAAAUAAACUUGCAAAAAUAUUACUUUACCUCGAGAUUAUCCAACAAACCAAUCACAACUUCUCAUAAAUAUUAAAUAUUCAUUAUCAUUUAUCAACGUCCAUACAAAUUAAUAUAUAUAAAUUAACAGAAAUUACCACUCUGCAAUACCAUCGAUAAAACUUAAAAAGGACCCAUUAAGCAAGCUAUUAAUUAUUUCAAAACAGAACAUGUAAUUCGGUAAUUCCACAAAGUUUUAACAAUUUACAAACAAAUACAAUCUUACAAAAUCUAAAACAAACCAUAACAGGUAUAAAAUUAUACAUUCAUAUACUACAAGUUUGUUUGAGAAAUAACAAUAAAACAUGUACAUCUACUAACAAAAAUACAUAUACUAAAAAACAAUAAAAUUGACAUUUAAAUGUUAAAAUUUAAAUAGAUAGAAUUACUUACAAAAAUUGAUAAAAUCCGUCGGUAAAUCAGAACACGGAUGUUGUGACCACAAAAUUUCAAGAAAUACAACUUGUUGUGUUGAGAUGAGCAAGAUUUUUAUUUGGGGGCAAGGGGGGGCUGAUUAUUUGCAGAUGGGGAGAGUUAGGAUUAGGAAGAAAAAGGAGAUAUGGGGAAGGAGAGUGUCGACAGAGUGGCCAUAUAUUUACUUUUUCCGACGGCCUCAUCGACGGAAUAACACCGUCGGUGACUCCGUAGGUCAUUCCGACGGGAAAUCGACACGUCACCGCACGAACCUGCUUUUCAAAUCCCUCGGUGAUUCCGUCGGUAUUUUUUAUGGUGCAACGGUCGCGUCACCCAUACGGAUCUGCCGUUUCAAUUCUGUCGGUGAUUCCGUUGGUAUUUUGAAGUCCCAUGACACGUACUUGUCAACCAUUUUGAAUCCGUCGGUGAUUCUGUCGGAAAAAUCACCCGCCAAACCUCCACGUCAGCUACCCGCCCUUUUUUCAUUAAUUUUGAUUAUUCUGUCCGUAAUUCGGUCGGUAAUUACCAACCAAAUGACGGACAGAAUAAUUCCAUCGGUAAUUUCGACCGAAAAAUACCGACAAAAAUAUUCCUCGGGGAUUCCGUUGAUAUUAAGCGAAUUUCUGGUAGUGAUUUGAGCAACUCUGAAACAUGAAGCUAGUCAAUAGGCGUCUAUAAGUUGUACAGAGAUUUUACAAUAGAAACUAUUCAAGUAAGAUUUUGGUGCAAUCAGUAUUCUAUAUGCACGAACAAAUUUGGGGCUUCACUGUACUACCUCAGAUACUCUCAAAAAAUGCUUCUUGGAAUUCGGAAGUUUAGACGAUCAUCGGUUAACAUGUCUGGUGUUGGUGCUUCAUGAAAUGAUGUUACCGUUUCUCUUUCUGAACGUUAUUCCAGGUUGGAAAUUCAAGUAAUUAGUUCAAAUCCUAGAAGAUGAGUGGUGGCUUAGAAUGCUGUGAAAAAAUCGUUCCCCUGUUCAUUUUUCAAAUUAGAAAAGACAUAACUUUUUGCUUGAACUUCUAGAAUAUAAAAAAAUCUUACUUUUAUAUCUAGACACUUUCCAUCUAUGAUCUUUAAAUCUGAAGACAUAUCAUCUGGUUUUAAGAAAGUGCUAUUAACAUACCAAACUUUAUUAGAUUGUUGUUGUGCACUUAGGAAGAAAUAAAAUACUUGUCCUCUAUUGUUUUCAAUAGCAUGAUCAGCUUCAUAGUUUUCUACGUUGUCUUUUUACUAGAAGUACCUUCGUGAAUGUUGGGAAUUUCUGUCUUUUGCAUCUAUACCAGCACUCUUUUACUUAGUGUCCACCUCAUUUUCAAGUUCAUGUCGCUGGAUCCAGCGGUCAAGAGAAAAUCAUGUCAUUGACACUAAUUUAGACCAUCAAAAUGAUUGAUAUUUGUGUUAAAUGGUUCCUUUUAACUGAGAGAAUUCAUAUUAGGUGUUUUUCUUACCUUUAAAGUUUGUGAAAAAACAAAUAUUAUCUCAAGCUGAUUUUUGGUUUCAUGUUCAUUUCUAUUUUUUAGAGGGUUUGUUGGUUUUUUAGGCUAAAAAUAUGUUUAUCAUGGUUCUUAAGGUUUUUUAUAGGUGUUUUGGGUCAAAAUGAGUUUUGAGUAAAAAAACUUAAGCCUUGAUUUUUCAACCACUACAGUGGUUGGAAUCCGGAUAAGAUCAGACGACGCGUUGUCUGUCUCAAUAGGCAACGCAUCAUCUGAUUGUUUUAAAAAAAUAGAGGUGGACGACAUGUCAUCUGCUCUAAGUGCAGCGAAAAAAAUGGGUCCAGUUAGGUGAGCCCUAAUGAAAUGGGCCAGGCCAGGCAACACUUGACCGUUUUUUCCCUUAUUUUUUUCAAUUCAUCCUUAUUUUUAUAUGUUUUUUUGUAAAAUAAAAAAAUAUUUAUAUUUAGAUUAAUACCUCUUUUCUUUUUGUAUUUUGUUCAGAAAGUCUUUUAAAUGAUGAUUAUUUUUUUGUUAUGUUUUUAAUUUUUGAAGAGGUCUUUCUGAUUCAUUUAUAUUUUUUUUAUCGUUUAUGUAGAAGAAUUAUAUUUUUGAAAAUAAAAAAUAUUUAUUUUCAAAUAAUAUUUCUACAGAGAGGUCGCUGGAUCCAGCGAUAAAAAAGAAAAUCAUGUCGUUGACACUAAUUUAGGCCACCAAAAUGAUUGAUAUUUGUGUUAAAUGGUUCCUUUUAACUGAGAGAGUUCAUAUUAGGUGUUUUUCUUACCUUUAAAGUUUGUGAAAAAACAAAUAUUAUCUCAAGCUGAUUUUUGGUUUCAUGUUCAUUUCUAUUUUUUAGAGGGUUUGUUGGUUUUUUAGGCUAUAAAUAAGUUUAUCAUGGUUCUUAAGGUUUUUUAUAGGUGUUUUGGGUCAAAAUGAGUUUUGAGUAAAAAAACUUAAGCCUUGAUUUUUCGACCACUACAGUGGUUGGAAUCCGGAUAAGAUCAGACGACGUGUUGUCUGUCUCAAUAGGCGACGCAUCAUCUGAUUUUUUUUUUAAAAUAGGGGUGGAUGACAUGUCAUCCGCUCUAAGUGCAGCGAAAAAAAUGGGUCUAGUUAGGCGAGCCCUAAUGAAAUGGGCCAGGCCAAGCAACACUUGACCGUUUUUUUCCUUAUUUUUUUCAAUUGAUCCUUAUUUUUAUAUGUUUUUGGUAAAAUAAAAAAAUAUUUAUAUUUAGAUUAAUACCUCUAUUCUUUUUUAUUUUGUUCAGAAAGUCUUUUAAAUGAUGAUUAUUUUUUUGUUAUGUUUUUAAUUUUUGAAAAGGUCUUUCUGAUUCAUUUAUAUUUUUUUUAUCGUUUAUGUAGAAGAAUUAUAUUUUUGAAAAUAAAAAAUAUUUAUUUUCAAAUAAUAUUUCUAAUACGUGUAGCCUUGCAUAAUGUUUUUUUUUUCUUUUUAUUUUAUUCAAUCAAUCUAAUGUGUUUGUCCAUUUCUUUUAUCAAUUGAUUGAAUAAAAAUACAUUAUAAUAAUCGUGUAAAUAUCCAGUCUUGCGAUAUUAAAUAUCUUGAUCCACACAUGUAUCUUGAUUUUUCAAGUUUUAUUUUUAAGUAUUGUUAAUGACUUAUUAUUAAUUUAUUAGCACACAUAGUUCUCGGUUUACUUGAUUACAUGUAUUUUUGAUCUACACUUCAAUUUUUUGAAUUAUAGAAAUGCAUUGAAAAAACUUAUUUAUAUAAUGUUUUUAUAGAAAAUAAAAAUAUCUGAUCCGUAACGGAGCGCGGUUCAUAUAACUAGUAAAUACUAAAUUGAAGUGAUAAAAAAUAACAUAAAGCACAAGUAAAUUACAUAUACAAGUGAUCAAUGAUAGAGGCUCCUCUAUGUAUAGAUAAUGGAGCAUUGAUUCUUAAGUUUAGGGAGACACAUGGUGCCCGUGUCAGUUUAUAUUGGAUCCUGUGCUUGUAAGUAAUGAUGGAUUCUCAUGAGUCCUACUAUUUAACAUGCUUAAGAAUAAAGUUGACAUGUUGGAUAAUUGAUUGAUCUCUUAGUUCAAGUAAUCUGAUUCAUUCUUCAUAGUUAAUGUAUCUAGUGACUUGAUAUAAAAAGCCUAGUGGGUUGGUAACUGGUAGCAUGUGAUGUCUAGUAAGCUAGGUGACAGGUAACUAGUACCUAUAAAAAGUCCCAUUUGAUGGACGUGGGGAUUCUCAGAUGGUAAAGUCGAUAACUUUAUGGAAAGAGAAAGUGCAAUAAUAUUUUAAAGAGAUAUACUCUGAAAAUAUAUACAGUUAUACACAAUAGAAAAUGAAGAGAUUGUGAACCUUUAACUUGAUGGAUUCAUGGUGUAUUUAUAGCUUAUAAAUUUUAUCCUUUUAUGGAGAGGAGGGGCUGAAGUGUAAUUUCAAUAUUGUGAUAUUUUGAGUUGUAUUCCACUCAAAAUAAUAUGUAUUUGAUCAAUAUAAAAUAUCAAAAGAUGUAAGUUGGAUUUUGAAAAAUUCUCUAGUGAGUAUUGGGCUCGGAUAAGGUGCCCGAGCCCAUUGGAGGUGAAAGCAGGUUCGGGAGUACUACCUGGACUCAAACACACUAAGCUCAGGCGUGAAAACCUGUUCCCAUGAUGGCUAUAGGGUGCAUGCCCAACACCAUUUGGGCGUACACCCUACAUAGGUACACAUACAUUGGGGUGUAUUGAGCGUACAUACACUGGGCAAAUGCCCAAUGCACUGCAUAAUGCCCAUGCAUUAGACGUUCAUACGCCCAUUAAGGAGCAUGGGCUUGGGCUCCUUGCCCGAGCCCAUGUUCUUGGUGCGUGGAUAGCCCGAGCUCAUGUUCCUUGGGUGGUUUUUGAGUUUUUUUUUUCUCUUUUAGAGGAUUUCUUUGGGUCUAUUUUGAGGGAUUUUUUUGGUCAAUUUUAUUUGUAUCCAUCAGAUUCUAUUAUCAAUUUAAAAAGUCUGAAGUGAUAGAUUAAAAAUAUAUUUUGUAUAUAAGUUCCUCAUUUUCCAUUCGUAACCCAACAACACAUCUUGAAACAUUAAACUGACUUAAACCUUCAAAUAGAGAAUUGAAUUUUAAUGAAAUUUAACCUUUUUUUACAAUAUCUGACACUAAGCAACGAAUAGCUUCUAUAAAGAGGAUUUUUUAGGGAUUUUUUUUUAAUUCUUUUCUAUUUAGUGUAAGAAGUUAAAUUUUAUGUUUAAUAUUUUUAUUUUUCAUAGUUUAUUUAGAAUUUUUAUUAAUUUUUUUAUUUUUAGGUUUCUAGUUUGUUUAGGUUAGUUUUUUAAGUUUAUUUAAGGAGUUGUAAACCUCUUAGUAAGGAAAACUACAUGAACAUAAAAUAUUCAGUAAUAAAAUUAUAAUUUAGGGUUUUGUGUGACAAUUUUAUUUAACUUCAAUGAUACUAGUGGUUAUGUCUUUAUAGCUUAUUGUUUUUAUGUUUGUGUUUCCGUUUAUGUUAGUUGGUAUUAAAGUUCAAUGAUACUAGUGGUUAUUCGCUUGCUAUGUGCUAGAAUAACAAUGAUUAGAAAAUGCUAUGUGCUAAAAUAACAACUCUAAAAUAAAGAAAAUGUAAUAAAAUUUCUAAAAAAACUAAGAGAAAUAAAAUUACUUCUUUCAUGAAUUCAAUCUUGAUUUAUAAUAGAACUCAUGUUUGGAGGCACUUAGGCCUUUUCAACACAGUUAUUUUAUAAUUAUCUAUUUAGAUGGAAGGCAAUUAAGUCUUUCACCAUAUAUAAAAUUAAUUUUAAAAAAAGAUGGUUGGUAAAUGCCACUCACAUGCCAGUAAGUAGGAGGUAUUCAUGUUUUUUAGGCGAUACAUAUGGCACCUUACAAUGGUCAAAUGUCGUUGUUCGCUACAGUGUGUAAAGUAGAGCAUCAUCAUUUUCAAAGUGAUAGGGCACAUAUUCACAAUGGAGGUGAGGUUAAGCUCUGAUGAAUCUUUUUUUUCUUCUUUUUCUUUUCUCUCUCCUAGCCUCAAAAUUUUCACUAGCCCUUUAAAAAAUUAAUUGUGUCAUCCAGUUUGGUCUUUAUUCUUUUGAUUGCUAUUUGUUUUUUCAAUUUUAUUCCUCAUCAUUUUAUCUUGUUUAAUUUUUGUGUCCAAUUUUGGUCCUCAUGCUUUGAUUGCUAUUUUUUUAAUCAUUUUCUUAAUUUAUUUUAAAUUUUAAUUUAGUCCCUCAUUGUUUUAUUUCAUUUAAUUUUUAUGCCAAAUUUAAUCUUUAUGUUUUUUAUUGCUAUUUGUUUUGUUUAUCUAAUUUUGGAUGAUUAGGGAUUUUUCUUGGUAUUUUUUAGAGUUUGCCUUAAAUGGUUUAAUCUUGAUCUCAUAACUCAAGUCACUAGUUUUGAGAAUUAGCCCGAUUUAACUUCAAUAUUUUUUAUGCCGUUUUCUUAAAAUUGAUUAUUUUUUAAUUUUAUCAUUUCAUUUUAGGUUAUUGGAUCUUGAGUUUCAUGGUUUUUUCCACUUUUCUUUUUCUAUUUUAUCCUAGGUCAUGGGUUUGUUGGGUGAACCCAGAUUCAUUCAAGUUUUAAUUUUUAUUCAGUCUUGAGUUUCAUGGUUUUUAUUUAAUUUUUUUAUUUCAUCAUUCGACAUUGAGUUAUUGGGUCAUUUGAAAUUCAUUAUUAUGCCUUAAGCUUUGUGAUUUUAUUUUUUUUUCAUUUUUCUUUUUGUGGGGUUAACCUAGGUUGACUUCGGAUUUUUUUGGUAUUUCUUUUAUUUUUCUUUGAUCUUUUUUUCUAGGUCAUUUUUAUUUUGAAUAAUUUUUUAUCCCGAUCACAUUAUGUGGAUUGCGAGUUAGUUGAGUGAAUCUUAGCUAUCUCAAUUUGUUUUACGUUGCUUUUUUUUAAUGAUUUUUUUAUUUCAAUUUAAUUCUUUGACAUUAGAUUGUUGGGUCAUGAUCUUAGUGAUUUUUUCCACUUUCCUUUAUAUGAAGUUGGCCCAAGUUACAAGUUAAUCAAAUUAACCCGGUUUAUAUGAGUGGGGCACAAGUUACAAGUUAAUCAAAUUAACUCGGGUGGACUCAAUUGUUUUCUUGACAUUGACUUCGAUCUUUUUAUUUAAGUUUAUUUUUUAAUUUAUUUUUUUUAUUUUGAUCUCAUAUUGAGGGUAGUGGGUAGUUAGGUGAGCCCAGGUUGACUCGUGUUGAUGUGAAUCUCGUGAUCACGUAGUCACGCAACCCACAAUCAAAAUUAAGAUCUAAUCCCGGAAAGCCGAAAUAGAUCUGAUAGGAGUCUGACACAAUGGAAACUUGCCCCAAGGCACCAACACUAUUGGAAUGAGUAGAAUGACGCCACGAAGCCAAUUAAUCUUCGAUAAAUCAGAUUCAAUUCGUUCAAGAACUAAAGAAUGCAAGAAUCACUCUCACACAUUAAAACUGAAAAAUUCAGAAGUAAUAAUCAUCAAAGCUCCCAAAAUUUUGGCUUGCAUGAGUUUAAAUAGUUCUUGAAAAAUUAACCCUAAUGGACCCCUUAUAUGGACUUAUAUGAGGUCCACUCAAAACUGAUGCAAAAUCCUAAACUGAAAAGCCCAUAACUUAAUCCAAACAAGCCUUGGAUCCUAGCUGAAAACAAAGUAUUAAUUAAGCUCAAACAUAAAAGAAAAUAAUAAAAAUAACUAACUUGUCAUUAAAUACCACCAGCCCUUCUUUCUUUGUGUAGUUAGGAUGAAUAAGGGAAUCCUUAUAAGAAAAUUAUUCUAAAACAUUAAUGAAUCAUUGCCACACUUGGAGAAUAUUAUAUUGCAGCUCAUUAAAGAUCCUUAAGGAACUAGGAAAUUCCCAAAACAAGCUCCCACAUCCUUGUAGGAAAAUGAUCCUUGCUGAACAGGAAGUCCACAAGUUAAAAGGAAGUAAAUAAUAGAAUUCGCAUAACCUGUUCGGACCUAUAUUGCAAGUCUUUUCCGAACAUGGAUUCUUCUAAAAAUGUACCCCAACAUAGAAAAACAUUUUUGAAAUCUUCUAGUAAAGUUUCAGCUCGAUCCAACGGUUGGAUUUGAAGUUAUGCUCAAUAAUGUAAAACUGAACGGUAGAAACUUUUACGCCAAAAUCCAAAUCUGACAUUGCUUGGUUCGUAUCACAAGGCUGAACUGUAUCACGUGUUUUUUCUUCGAUGUUUUUAUUUUUAAAUUUUAUUUUUCAAGUUUUAUCUUUUGAUAUUAGGUUAUUGGGUUUUACUUAAAGGAUAAAGGGGGGGUUCAUUGGAAUCUAAAAGUAAGUUUGACAUAUUCAUGAUGAAUAAAAGUACAAAAGUAGAUUAAUUGAAAUAUUAUUAGUUUAAUUAUAUAAAUAUUAUGUAAAGUUCGAUGUCAUUUAUCCACACACAAAAACAAAUUGCAAUAUUAACCCGGAGGUAAGAAGUCUAGGGUAUCUUGAGAAGAGUGAUCAUGGAUCCAAGGUUAAUUUUGAGAAUUUGUUUCAAAGAUGUAAGUAGAGAAAAUAACUUUUUGAUUGGGAUAAAUAUAAUAUUGAAAUUAAAAUUUUGAUAAUUCUAGUUUUUUUGUGAAUCGGAAUCAAAUACCAAAAUUUGAUAAGGAUGAUGAAAAUGAUGGUAAAGAAAAAGAUUUAAAUGCAAAAUUUUUAAUUAGUGAUAUCCACGAGAAGAUAACAAAAAUAGAUGUGGUUACGAUGCAUAGCGUGAAGGAUGUGUGUUUGAGAAAAAAAAUUAGAAUUAAUGAGGUGAAAGCUGAUGCUAUUGCAAUCCAGCUCAUGCAAGACUUCCAAGUCGUUGGCAGUAUCCAAUUCGAAUAUUAUAGACUUCGUCUAAGGUAGUUUACGAAGAAAGUACCCGUAAGACAUGGUUAUAAUAAAAAGUCGUUGGCAGUAUCCAAUCGAAUAUUAUAGACUUCGUCUACGGUAGUUUACAAAGAAAGUACCCAUAAGCAUGAUUACAAUAAAAAGUAUACAUUUCCUGAAAAAAAGAAAUGAAAAACACUACAAAGCUGAGAAAGGCAGACAAUAUCAAUUGUCAAAAUCUAAGGAUACUCAAAUGAGUUUCGGAAGGAAAACCUGAAAAUGUACGAGAGAACACAACCCCAUCAUUGAAGCUGCUAUUUAUAUAUAUAUAUAUAGACAUGAUCUAAUGCUAGCAAGCUGCGAAUCAUAUAUUUUAAGCAGCACACAUUGAGAAAUGAUUUCAGUCUCAUCUUGCCUUUGGGUCAAUUAUUUUAGAAAACACACCCCUUGCUCUUUGAUCUGGAUCACUUUGGGUGACACUUUCACGAGUGCUGAUAAGCCACGAUCUGAAGAAUCUCAAAGUCCACGUCAUUCUAAGAGGAUCCAUAAACCAAAUCCCAAAUAUCUGGGAUGAGCUGAUCGUGAGUUAAUGCAUGCAUAACGGAAGAAGCCAUUAAACAGGGGUCGUGGCUAUCAAGGAGUAAUGGAAGGAGGGGUUACACCCGUUAUAUCACCAUUUAUGGUCAUCAGUUAUAUCUUAAUUAAUUCCAAGUUAUUAGUAGCUUUAUUGUUCCCUUUGUAUUUCAGUUUUAUUUGUAAUUCACUUUGGCUAUUUAAGCAGCUAAAGUUUUAAUAAGAAGAUAUAAUUUCAGUAAAAAAGUGUGGUUUAGUUCUCACCCGAAGAGAACCUUUAUAAUUUGUGCUGGGACCUAACAUUGGUAUCAGAGCACGUUAUGGGAACCAACAAGGAGCGUAUUGAGCACCUGGAAUCUGGACUUGGGAUAGUUCAAGAUGGUCUUCAGAGAAUGGAGUUGGGAGUGAAUGAUAAACUCCAACAUUUGGAAGACACUCUUACUCGACUUGCCAAUAUGUUGAGGCAAAUCAAGAGAAUCCUAACCGCGACAAUUAUCAUAGAGAAGGCAACAAUGGGGGUCGGCAGAUUAUCUCCUCCAAAACAGCAAAACUGGACUUCCACGAUUUUCAGGGGAUGACCCAACCGAAUGGUUCAACCGUGUGGAACAAUUCUUUGAAUACUUGGGCACAGUUGAAAACCAAAAGGUAGCCAUGGCUGCUUACCAUCUUGAAGGGGAGGCCAACCAGUGGUGGCAAUGGCUUCAAAGGACGUUGCAGGGAGAAGGGCAAGUGAUUUCAUGGGCAAAUUUCAAGAAGAGUUAUGGGCUCGUUUCGGACCAUCAGGCUGUGAAGAUUUUGAUGAAGCUCUCUCAAAAAUCAAACAGGAGGGACAUUGAGGGAUUACCAACGGGAGUUCGAGAAGCUUGGAAAUAAGGUACAAGGUUGGACACAGAAAGCAUUAGUGGGAACAUUCAUGGGGGUCUGAAGACAGAAAUUUCUGAAGGGAUUCGGAUGUUUAACCACAAUCCCUCAAGGAGGUCAUUAAUCUAGCAAGAAUGAGAGAUGAGCAACUUACAAGACAGAGGCGGUUCUACGACCAGCACCUCCAAAAAUUCCUCUAGCUCUUCCACCACCCAAUCGGGUAACUCCUGCUAGUCGGUCUACUCCGCUUAGGCGUUUGUCAUGGGAGGAGAUGCAAAGAAGAAGAGUGCAAGGCCUUUGUUUCAAUUGUAAUGAAAGGUUUACAGCCGGGCACAAAUGUCAACAACCUCAGCUACUACUCUUGGAAGGUUACAUAGAUGCUGGUAAUAUGUCCUAUGAAGAUAUUACUUAUCCACAAACCAGGGGGUUUGUACAAGGAGAAGAUACAGUAGAGGCAUGCGAACCAGAAUUGGAACCUGAAAUCACUCUGCAUGCAUUAACAGGGUGGACAGCCCCAAGAACAAUGCGAGUGACAGCGAAGGUGGGCUCUCAUACGGUGAUGGUGUUGAUAGACAGUGGAUCCACACACAACUUCAUCAGUGAUCGCUUAGCAAACACACUACAUCUACCAGUGAAACCAACCAAGUCGUUCACUGUUCGGGUUGCUAAUGGCCAGCGUCUACAUUGCCAAGGACAAUUUGAUAAGGUACCCGUGAAUUUACAAGGCACUGAAUUUUAUCUCACACUCUUCUCUCUGCCAUUAUCAGGGCUUGAUCUAGUGUUGGGCAUCCAAUGGUUAGAAUUGUUGGGAUCAGUGGUUUGUAACUGGAAAGACUUAACUAUGGACUUCAUUUGGAAUAAUCAAGCUCGAAGGUUGCAAGGAGUGGGGAGCAAUCUAUUCAAGAGGCUACUUUAAAACAAGUCUCAAAAGAUUGUCGACAGCAACAGAUGUUAUUUGCAGUAUGUUUCCUUUCAACCACGAGGACAAAAUUCUGAAGGCAGACUAUGGCAAUCAAGACAUACAGCAGUGAUAAAGGAGUAUCAGGAUGUAUUCCAAGAACCCUCAUGCUUACCACCUGUGCGGAGGUGACCAUUGCAUUGCACUUAAGGAGGGCACUGAGCCGGUUAAUGUACGACCCUACGAUAUGCUCACUUUCAGAAAGAAGAAAUUGAAAAGCAAGUGCAGGAGAUGCUGAAAUCAGGACAUAUACGUACUAGCACCAGUCCUUUUUCUUCACCAGUGUACUCGUACGAAAAAAAUGGUAGUUGGAGAUUUUGCACGGAUUAUCGCGCACUAAAUAAUGCAACUAUCAAGGAUCGGUUCCCCAUUCCAACCGUGGAGGAUAUGCUUGACGAAUUAUAUGGAGCGGCAUAUUUUACGAAACUGGAUUUACGAGCUGGAUAUCACCAAGUAAGGGUCAAUCCUUCUGAUAUUUCUAAGACUGCUUUUCGUACUCAUAAUGGCCAUUAUGAAUACCUCGUUAUGCCUUUUGGCCUAUGUAAUGCACCUUCCACAUUUCAGGCCAUCAUGAACACUAUUUUUCGACCUCACCUUCGAAAAUUCAUUCUAGUUUUCUUCGAUGAUAUCCUUAUCUAUAGUACUACAUGGGACAAACAUGUGGAACACAUUGCACAAACUCUGCAGAUUUUAAGACAACAUCAGUUUUUUGCUAAAGCUAGCAAAUGUGUUAUCGGCCAACAAGAAUUGGAGUAUCUGGGGCAUAUCAUUACACCGCAAGGAGUGAAAGUUGAUGACCAAAAGAUUACAGCCAUGCUUGCAUGGCCUCGACCUACUAAUAUUUCUGAAUUGCGUGGUUUUUUAGGAUUAACAGGUUAUUACAGGAAGUUCGUCCAAAAUUACGGCAUCAUUGCUCGACCCCUUACCAAUCUAUUAAAGAAGGGGAAAUUUGGAUGGCAUGAUGAGGCAGAGGCAGCCUUCUCAGCUCUCAAGCAAGCCAUGACAACCACUCCCACUUUAGCCAUGCCUAAUUUCAAUGAUUCAUUCACAAUUGAAACAGAUGCUUCAGGAGAUGGUAUUGGUGCGGUUCUAACACAGCAAGGCAAACCCAUCGCCUACAUGAGUCGGGCACUGGGAGUCACAAAAAAAUCCUGGUCCACCUACGCCAGAGAAAUGCUUGCAAUUGUAGAAGCCAUCCGUUUAUGGCGUCCUUAUAUACUGGGAAGAAAAUUCUUCAUUGAAACCGACCAGCGUAGCUUGAAGUAUCUACUGGAUCAACGAAUAGCAACACCAGAACAGCAAAAGUGGGUAGCCAAACUACUGGGUUAUGACUAUGAAAUUCGUUAUCGUCCAGGCCGCGAAAACUCAGCUGCAGAUGCACUCUCCCGCAGGCCAAACAGCCCCACACUUCAUCAUUUGCACGUGGCCACCGUAACCUUGUGGGAUGAAAUCAAAGAAGCAUACAUUGGGAAUAAAUACAUUCAGUCAGUAGAGCGGGUAGCCAAGGCUCAACCCAAUGGACCAUAUUCACAACGCCAAGGAUUGUGGCUAUUCAAGCACAGAGUGAUAAUUCCUACAUGUGAACUGCUACGCACCAAGUUAUUGUAUGAAGCACACAAUACCAAGAUUGGCGGACACUCUGGAGUCUUACGAACAGUCAAACGACUAGCUCAUCAAUUUUACUGGCCUAAGAUGCAACAAGAUGUCCAAGAAUAUGUCCGACGCUGUGAAGUAUGCCAAAGAAUGAAAUCAGACACUCUUUCCCCUGCUGGACUCCUACAGCCUUUACCCGUUCCGUGUCAAGUUUGGGAUGAUAUUACUCUUGAUUUCGUUGAAGGAUUGCCAACCUCCCAUGGAAAAGAUACAAUCUUAGUAGUGGUUGACAGGUUAAGCAAAUUUGCCCAUUUCUUGCCCUUAUCCCAUCCAUUUACUACAAAAGGAGUAGCUGAAAGAUUUGUGGAAGGAAUUAUUAAGCUACAUGGCAUUCCUAAAUCAAUCAUUAGCGAUCGAGAUCCCAUCUUUAUCAGCCAAUUUUGGCAACAGUUAUUUCGCUUGUCAGGGACACAACUAAAACUCAGCUCUGCCUAUCAUCCACAAACAGACGGCCAAACCGAGGUGGUAAAUCGAUGUGUUGAACAAUAUCUUCGCUGCUUUGUUCAUCAAUGGCCGCGCAAGUGGAGCACCUAUAUUCCUUGGGCUGAGCUCUGGUAUAACACCACAUUCCAUGCCUCUACUAAAAUGACUCCAUUUCAGGCAUUGUAUGGUCGACUGCCUCCUCUCCUUCCCAAUUACCAGGGUGGUGAUGCGUCGGUGCAUGAGGUGGACAAGAAUCUCAUGUCUAGAGAUGAGUUACUAAGUCACCUAAAGACAAAUUUGGAGAAAUCCAGCAAUCGUAUGAAGCAGACAGCAGACAAAAAAAGAAGGGAGGUGACUUUUGCAGUAGGUGAUAUGGUGUUUCUCAAGUUACACCCCUAUCGACAACAAUCGGUUUUUAAACGUGUGCACCAAAAGCUUGCAAGUCGAUUUUACGGCCCUUAUCCAGUAGUUCAAAAAAUCGGCGCAGUUGCUUACAAACUUCAACUACCAGAGGGCAGUCGUAUUCACCCGGUCUUCCACGUCUCUCUACUCAAGAAAUAUGUGGGCGACCUAGUGGUGUCAUCUACAGAAUUACCACCAGUGAAUGAUGAAGGCCUAAUUAUACUGGAACCACAACAGAUUUUGGACACUCGCUGGGUCAAACAGGGAAACAAAUUUGAAGAGGAGAGCUUGAUUCAGUGGCAACGACUACCAGCAGAGGAGGCCACAUGGGAACUAACUAAGUCGUUGCUUGAGCAAUUUCCACACAUCAACCUUGAGGACAAGGUUUUGCUUGGUGGGGGAGGUAUUGAUAAGCCACGAUCUGAAGAAUCUCAAAGUCCACGUCAUUCUAAGAGGAUCCAUAAACCAAAUCCCAAAUAUCUGGGAUGAGCUGAUCGUGAGUUAAUGCAUGCAUAACGGAAGAAGCCAUUAAACAGGGGUCGUGGCUAUCAAGGAGUAAUGGAAGGAGGGGUUACACCCGUUAUAUCACCAUUUAUGGUCAUCAGUUAUAUCUUAAUUAAUUCCAAGUUAUUAGUAGCUUUAUUGUUCCCUUUGUAUUUCAGUUUUAUUUGUAAUUCACUUUGGCUAUUUAAGCAGCUAAAGUUUUAAUAAGAAAAGAUAUAUAAUUUCAGUAAAAAAGUGUGGUUUAGUUCUCACCCGAAGAGAACCUUUAUAAUAUUGUGAUGGGACCUAACAUUGGUAUCAGAGCACGUUAUGGGAACCAACAAGGAGCGUAUUGAGCACCUGGAAUCUGGACUUGGGAUAGUUCAAGAUGGUCUUCAGAGAAUGGAGUUGGGAGUGAAUGAUAAACUCCAACAUUUGGAAGACACUCUUACUCGACUUGCCAAUAUGUUGAGGGCAAAUCUACGAGAGAAACAAAAUGUACGAGAGAACACAACCCCAUCAUUGAAGCUGCUAUUUAUAUAUAUAUAUAUAGACAUGAUCUAAUGCUAGCAAGCUGCGAAUCAUAUAUUUUAAGCAGCACACAUUGAGAAAUGAUUUCAGUCUCAUCUUGCCUUUGGGUCAAUUAUUUCAGAAAACACACCCCUUGCUCUUUGAUCUGGAUCACUUUGGGUGACACUUUCACGAGUGCUAACAGUGCUCCUUGAAUGUGACUCCGCUCCACUAAACAUGUCAUCGUCAUCAGUGGUCAUGGCAUCUCGAUGUGGUGAAAAUGAGCUUUUAUUUUCCAUAUUGAUCCCUUCUACACUGUUGGCAUUUUUCUCAGCAGAUUGUUGAAGCUGCAAUGCAAAUUCAAGGCCCCAAACGACAUCACCCAUUUUAGGGCGUUCAAUUCCUUGACCAUGUAAGCAACUGUUAGCAAUCUCUGCGAACUUAUUUAAAGAGACGGGGGCAACCUCGCCCUUUAAAUGUGGAUCCACGAUCUGAUCAAGGGUUCCUCUUUGGUAACAUUUUCGUGCCCAGUCAGCUAAGCUUGCUUGAUCUUUCGGUGAACUUGGAAUCACUGGUGGCCUUGCACAUAGCACCUCAAACAAAACCACACCGAAUGAAUAAACAUCAGAUUUUCUGUCAGGUGUUGCCUACGGUAGUACUCUGGAUCCACAUAUCCAAUGCUACCUCUAACUACAGUGCUAACAUGGGUUUGGGAUGUACUAGUGGGACCCAAUCUGGACAGCCCAAAAUCUGAAACCUUAGCCACCCAAUUCUCAUCUAACAAUAUGUUUGUUGACUUCACAUCACGGUGAAUGAUUGUGUGCUUUGCUCCUGAAUGAAGAUAAUGCAACCCUUUUGCAGCACCGAUGCAUAUUUCUAGCCUUUGCUUCCAUGGAAGAGGAGAGUUCUUUGUUUUGUAUAGAUGUUCUCUAAGAGUGCCUCUUGACAUGUAAUCGUAUACAAGGAUCAUCUCGCCAUGAUCAUCACAGUAUCCAAUCAGCGACACUAGAUGGAGGUGGCGCAGAUUGGAUAACAUCUCAAUCUCUGUCUGGAACUCACGUGUCCCUUGCUUUGAUGAUGAAUCUAGUCGUUUGAUGGCUACUGCACCGUAUUCAAUGUAUCCUUUAUACACAGUACCAAAUCCCCCUGAACCAAUAAUAUUUUGAUCAUCAAAGUGUCCUGUUGCUUCGUUGAUUUCGAAAAAUGUAAACCGUCGGCAAAGAUCAGUAGGAGUGAUGAAGAGAUUGUAGUCGUGGACCUAGAUGUUUGUGAUAUUAGAGUCCAGGAGGAUUUUUCCUCACUCUUGCUAGGGUCCUUGACUCGCUUCUGCUUGAAAGCAAAGAAAUAAAGAAUAAGAGAGCAAGCAAACACUGCACCUAUGGAACCUCCAACGAUGGCUAUAACCGUAAGUAUUGAUGAUCUUUUGCCCGUUCUUCUGUCUUGUAGACUUGGAUGUUGUUCUGCUGGUGGAGGAGCCACUGUUGGCUCAGGGUUGAAUCCUGCAAGAUUUCCGUCUGUUGUAUUCAGCUUGAAUAUUUCCAAGCCAUUCAAGAUUGCAUCAGCAUAAGUAGGUUUCAGUUCCAUGUUAGGGUGUAGUUCGAGCCACAAGCCCUGCUUGCUCUGGCUCCCUGAGGGACCAGCACGAUGUAGUCUUUGUAAACUGGAAUGCCGUUGCCACCGCUCAUAUGGAUCACAUCUGCAUCAUGGCUGUGCUAUUUGAUUGUUGAUGAAUAUUAAAAAUACCUGUUGAUUUUCAGUUUUGAACUCCAUUCGAGUCUCACAAAAGUGGAGUCUAAGGAGAUAAUUGAAACCAGCAUCAACUGGGAAGAUCCAUGUGAGAUUGUAAUUCAUGUUAAGAAGUGGUUCAGGACCCAUAGAACGCAUAGUACUAUAUACCAUAACAGGUGCGGAGUAAGCUGGCGUUUUGGUUGUGUACUCUAUCUUGACGCCUGAGUGAUAUGGAGUGUUUCCAGCUUUUCCAAAGAGAUACCCUGAAUCUUGAUGCCAUGUCCUGUACAUUCCAGUCUUGUCUCCAGUGCUGCUGAUAUCUUGCCCCCCAACAUUCAGUCGAUAAACUGUCUCAAGCGCAGUUGUGUUACCCAGAUAGAAGGGGGCGGUGCCCACAUAGGUCGGUGGAUUAUCAUCGCCACGAGCAUAGAAGCUGUCUGGCAUGGAAACGAUUUCGAUACCAUUAACGAAGGCAAAAGAUGCUGGAGACGGAAUGAAGGUUAAUUCAAGCUUCUGGUUGUCCCACACGGUGAUGAUGAACUCUUUGGUGAAGUAGUCAACUGGAGGUCUUAUAGCAGAAACUGUAAGAGAGGCACUAAAGUUGUUUAGUAGCUUGUAGUUGUUGGCACUAAGCGAAAAAUAGGAUUUGGAUAUAUCAAGAUUUGAGUAAGAAGAUGGAUAAAAGUAGAGACGCACAAAUUUUGGGCCAGGCAAGACUGGAAUUGUGUAAGUGAAUUUAGAGUGAAGAAUACGGGCUGUCAUGUAUGGGACUUGGUCGACAGAGGGGUCUUGAGUGGAGGCUUCAAACACAGAUGAGGCUUCUGGGGGGUUAGAGGCAGCAAACUUAGACUGGGAAUCACCAUCCCAACUGCGACCAUCUGGAGAUGACAAAUUAGAGGAUGCACCACAGUUAAGGAGUAUUAGAUCAGUGGGGCUGUAUGGCAGCAAGUAAUCUUCAGUAGCAGUAGCAUAGAGGAAGAGAUGGAGGGGAGGGAGAAGGUAGAGAGCGAUGAAGAUGGACAUUAUGCUAUUUCUUUUGUGGAAUAAGUUGGAGUAAGAAAACCUAUGCAUUAAAUGCAAAGAUUUUGAUUUAAGGGAAGAUGAUCAGUGGCGUUUUUGUCUCCAUACAGUAUUUUUGCUCAGUUGAGAAUAAUCCAAUAAUAUAUUUGAAGCCCGGGGAGUUGAAAAUUCGACGAUAUGGCUAAUGGGACAUAUUGGUCGCUGUACUUAGUCAGCUUUGGAUGGCUGCUUUCCAUUGUGUGGUUCUGAAUUCUGCAAUAAAGACGCCAUGAAUAGUCUAUGAAACUUAUUUUUCUUUUCUUUUUUCCUUAACUUUUUCAUUGUUGGAUUAAGAUCACACACACCACUUAAUUUCUUAUUUGAUUAAUAUUCUUAACGAGGUUGAAUGUAUUUCAGGUUGGUGUUCACCAUAACAAAUGCAGUAAUCACAGCUCCGAGAUUAGGAUUCAAAAGGUGCAAAGCUUCUUUUUCCUUAUGGCCACCGCCUUGAUACAAUGAUUGUCGCAAGUGCAAGGUCUAUAUAAUCCUCACCGAUGCCUUCUGUCCAAUACACACACAUCCUCAUUAUAGGCUGGCCUUGCUUCAGUCUUCAAUAAGAAACAUCGUUCUUGUUCCUCAUGAGUAGCCCUUUCACUCGCCUCAGAUCCAUGAAGUCUCAUUUACUCCUUUCUAUUAUUCUUCUUCAAUGCUGUCUUACUGAUAAAAUGCUCUUGUUUUUGGUGUUAUAUAUUCUUCAAUGCUGUCUUACUGAUAAAAUGCUCAAAUGAGACUUCAUGGAUCUGAGGCGAGUGAAAGGGCUACUCAUGAGGAACAAGAACGAUGUUUCUUAUUGAAGACUGAAGUAUAUAUAUAUAUAUAUAUAUAUAUAUAUAAAAUUUUACACAGGCUCAAAGGAUCGACCUAUUUCUUUUUGGUUCAUGAGUGUGCCUUUUUGGGCUGAGUUUAAAACCAAAAAUCUUCUCAUCUGGUAUAGUAAUCGCUUAAUUACUACAAAACUUGGUGGUAAUGAGAAAUCUUUCUUCCCAUUAAUCGAAGAAUAAUGGAUUUACCUCUCGACAUACUUGGUGCCGAAUAAAAUCAUUAGCACUAGUGAAGAAGAGGCAAGCUGUCCUCUCUUCCCUGGAGAUGGCAAUUUGUUCUCUCUCAUCCUGUUAAGCUUGAUUUCCAUAAUUGAGGGGAAAUGAAUGGAGUUCUCGGUGGAUGAAAAAUAAUUGGAAUAAUAAAUGAAAUGAAAUUGUGUUUCAUUGUUGAAACAAUCAUGCUGAAAUCACUUCAAUCCAAGUCUCUACAUUGAAUAGGUCUAGCAAAUGUUCUUAUCUUGUACAAACAGGACACCUUAAGCAAACCUGUGAACAUUCCAAGAUCUUUUUUUCAACUUCAUAGCUUGCAAUAGAUUAAUGAGGAAGCUUCUCCAUUAAUUAGUGCACGAGAAAGACAAUCACUAGACAUCGUAUCGACAAAGCAAUUGCUUGCUAUUUUCUUCAAUUAUUAAUCAUCAUAAAGUACAUACAAAUUUUAUUGCUAUACUCAUCGGAAGCAUGAGUAGAAAGAAAGAAGAAAGAUUCAGACAGUCACCCUAGACGUAGAGCAAACUGAUCCCACCCAUCUUGGUGGAGCUCACAUAGACGGACUGGUUCACCUUGCGCUUUAUGGGUGGCUAUUCAAAUCGAAACCCACACAGACAGAUAAAGAACUGACCCCUUUGUCUCCUCUUCCUCGAUCAACUACCACGUUUGCACCGAUUGUAGUAAGUGCAGGGCCGAGUGUUAGGAUUGAUCGGUUUUGCACAGUCGCCAUAUAUUUGUGCAUUGCAAAUUGGUUGUCGUUCUAAACUAUCAUAGCUAAGAUAGUUACCCUGAGAGGCCAGUAGUCUCUGAUGCACUUCAGAUUCCAUAGAGAACUCCUCUUCAUUACCUUCACCGAUUGUGGCAUUGAAAAUGGGACUCGAGUUGCUUUCAAGAAAGGCAGCUGUAGAAGCAGAUGUGAUCACAAAAACCAGCAGGAUAGUUAAAGAGAGCCACCGGAGGAAUUCAAUACUUACGCUAGGCCUCAUCUCUUUCUGUCUGUACCCUUCUGUUACAGAGUUUGAAGAGCACUAAAUAGACGUCACUGCUAAGAAGGCUUCAAACUCUGGAUAUGGAGUGAAAGGCCAGCUUUUUUCCAUUGACUUGCUUUUUUGUGAAGACUUGGGUCUUCACAUGACUGUGAUUUUGACAUUGUGCGCUCUAAUUGCUUACAGCUGGCAAACUGGUUGGAUAAUGGUCCUUGCCAAUUCAAUCGUUUCCUCAUUGUUCGUUUGCAACCAUGAACAUUUAUUUUAGUGUUUGAUAGUGGUUUUUUAUAAUAUUUUUUAUUUAGAAAAAUAUUAAAAUAAUAUUUUUUAAAAUAUAUUUUUAAUAUCAAUAAUGCAAACACUCAUCAUGCAGCGUUUUCCGAGGGACAUCUAAUAGUUGUCGGAAACCAUGUGCGCGUCAAGUCCAUGGGCCAUCAGCUGAUGCUAAGUUUUGAAAAAAUUGCAAUUAUUUUUUUAUGGGAUCCUGCUAACAAACACUAGCAUUUCUCUUACUUUUAUGUAAUUAAAUGGUAGGGUAUAGCAGUUCUUACAAAGGGACCAUAGAAAUGUCUUUUGAACUGGUGCUAUUGGCAUACCCAUAAAUCUAUUGGCGUAACAUUUUGGAAAUGGAAUGUCAAGGUUUUUUCUUCUCUAACAUGAAAGCUUUCUCCUUUUUUUUUCGUUUAUUAAUAUUCAUAAAUUAAGAGAAAAUGUUGAUUUUUCAAUUGAAUAUACGUAAGGUAUGAAUUUGCUAUGCGUUUAGAGUACAUGAAAGACUUAUUUAUAUUAGGCUUUUUGAACUUUAAAACUAAUUAAAUUCUGCUUGAAGUUGAAAAUAUGUCAUGGAUGACGUGAUAACGUGAUAAGCACUUUUUGAAUAAUUGAAGGGGAUGGAUGUUUUGUUAAGGAUGACGUCAAUAUACACCCACACACUAUGAAGUUGAUUCAAAGAAUCAGGAUUAUAAUCUGGAUCUUCGUUAGUGAAUUUAUCCUCAUCAAAACUUGAUAUUUCGUACGAGGUUUCUUCGAGUGUUUCUUGUAUUCUGCCUUUGACCUUGAUGAUGCUAAGGUUUACUUGAAUUCGAUUUUAAGAGGUUAGAAAUGUAAAUUGUCUUUUUUAAGUUGGAGAUGAUAGGAAUUCUUGUAGCUAUGGAGUUUGUUGAGAUUGUAGCAAUAAGCUUGAGUUUCUCUGAAUUGGAUCCAUCAUUUGACUUUGAUGUAUCCCAUGAGAUCUGAAGAGUAACUAAUAUCUUUAUUUACAUCAUGCAUUGUAAUGAAAUUCCAAGAUAGCAUGAGACACCAAAGGUAGAGAUGAAAUUAUACAAAGAAACGGGAAUUGAAUUCGAAGGCAUUUUUACUAUAAACAAUUCCAAUUAUUGUGUGAUUUUUUAUGGGAGGAUUUCACUUAUAGAAGAAAAAUAUUUCCACCAAUUGUUUGAGAACCAAGUUGGUAAAUUUUUUGGACAAAUGUUUUAUCAAAAUGGAUGAACCAUAAAUGAUCAUGGUUUUAGAAAAAGAAAAUCAAACCAAGCUCGUUGAUAAUCAAAAUAAUUAUAUCUUUGAGAUUAGUAGUUUCAAGAAAAUCUUUCAAGGUGUAGGGACUUUGACUCAAUUAAGUCUUGAAAGGUUAAAACCUUUUAAAUUUUUAUUUUUGAAAAAAAUGGAUUAUUUACAUCUUCAUUAUGAGUCACUUCAGCAGAGUUAAUGUCAAACCAGAACAAACUCAUAAAAUUAUCUUGUUUUCAAUAGUUUUUCUAUAAUGAACUAAAAUUGAAAGGGGAAGAUAUAAAAAAUGAUCUUAUUUAGGUUUUCAUUGUAAAAUUAUUUUUUAAUUGGACAAAUAUGAAGAUUUAUAGUUUCUUGACUUGGAAGGUUUAAUAAGUUAAUUUUUUCAGGGAAGAUUUGGAGGGUAAUUAACACAAGUGGAAGCACAAGCAAAUACACAAUAACAAGUAGGGUAUAAAAGUUGUUACAAGGGACCAUAUAUAUUGUGUUUUGAACUGGUGCUAUUGGCAUACCCAUAAAUCUAUUGGAACAAUAUUUUGGAAAUAAAAUGUCAAAGUUUUUUUUUCUUCUUUAACAUGAAAACUUUCUUUUUUCCAUUUAUUAAUAUUCAUAAACCAGAGAGAAUGUGAUUUUUCAAUUGAAUAUAUAUAAGGUAUGAAUUUCCUAUGCCUUGAGAAUGCACCAGAGUGGUGGCCCGCGCGACACCACGGAUCGGACCAAACAUGUUUUUCAAUAUGAAAAAAAUCUUUAGGAGAUAGUUGGGUUUUUAAAAUAAAAAAAAAAUAGAUAAUAAUGUUAAACCUUGAUUAAUUUUAUAAUAUAAUAAAAAAAUUAAGCAACAAUAACAAAGAAAUAAAAAAUAAUUACAUACAAAACUGGAUUAACACACGAAACUCGUGACCUAACACAUGAGAUCAGGAUAACCCUAUAGGAAUAUGAUACCAGUAAAAAUCCAUUGUUGAAAAAGGACAUGGAAAAAAAAAUCAAAGGCAAUAAAAUAUUGAAGGAUGAAAUUAAGAAAAAAAGUUCAAAUAAAAAUAAAUCAAAAAAAUAAAAAUCAAAUCUAACAUAAAACAAAAUUAACUAAAAUAUUGAGAGAUACAAUUAAAAAAAACAAUUCAAUUAAGAGAAAGAUAUAAAAUAUUGAGGGAUACAAUUGAAAAGAUAAUUUAGUUAAGAGAAUAAUUAAAAAUCAAAAUAAAAAUAAUAGGGAUCAAAUCUAAAAUGUAAACAAACCAAAUGAGAAUUAAAUUGAAAGAAAAUUUUAAAUGCAUGCAUAAUCUAAAAUAAAUGAAAUAACAAUAAAAAAAAAGAAAUCAAAUCUAAAAGAAAAAUAAAUUGAAGUGCUAUAUAAAAUCUUACUUUUUGUUACCACACAAGCUCUCUAGAAAUUGAUCGGCAAUAUCACAAGGAUAAAAACACAAUUAUAAAAGCUAGAGCUUGGCUGUCAAACGAUACCUCAUGUGUUGUCUAAUCAAAACAAAAGUACUAACCCGUGACCGUAUAAAUUGCAUGUGCAACUGUUUUUUUUUUUAAAUAAAUUAAUAUAAUAUAUACCUAAAUACUAAAGUGCAUUUUAUCGAACUUGAUAAUCACAAAAAAACCAAAAACAAGAGACAAAAACAAAACCCCUUGACCAAGGGCAAAGACAAUUCAAAUGCAAGGACACUUCAGUUUUUCACUGUGCAUGUGAAAAGGAAUACUUGAAAGUGACCCUCUCCACUAGUCCAUUACUUUUUAUUUAGAAGGAUAUAAUGGUUAUUUUACCAUGAAAAUAAAAAAAAAAAAUUAAUAUACCCUACUUCCAAAGCCAGCAAAAUCAUUAUCUCACUAUUCCAAUCGACAUUAACAAUGAGUUUGGCUGUACAAUAAUAAACCUAUACUAAAAUGGGAGCUCUUUUAGUCUCUUCUAAUGAAAGACUUAUUUACAGGAGGCUUUUUUAACUUUAAAUCUAAUUAAAUUAUGCUUGAAGUUGAGAAUAUAUCUUGGAUAACGUGAUAUAUACACUUUUUUAAUAAUUGAAGUGGCUGAAUGUUUUGUCAAAUAUUAUUGAAUAAUUAAAUUAGGUGGAUUUUCAUAAAGGAUGACGUCCACAUAUAUAAAAGAUUCUUUUAUAUCCAUGUGUGUGUGUAACUCAGAAGAUUAGGACCAUAAUCUGGAUUUUCAUUAGCGAAUUCAUCCUCAUGAGAACUUGAUAUUUAUACAAGGCUUUUUGGAGUUUUUUCUUGUUCUGACUUUGAGCUUGAUGAUGCAAGGCUUUCUUGAAUUCGACUUUUAGAGGUGAGAAUUGUAAAUUGUCGUUCUUGAGAUGGAGUCGAUGGGGAAUGCUUGCAGCUAUGGAGUUUGAUGAGAUUGUAGCCGAGCAUGCACAACUUGAGAACAAGCUUGAGUUUUUCUGAAUUGGGUCCAUCGUUUGACUUCGAUUUUCCUCAUGAGAUCUAAAGAGUAACCAAUACCUUCAUCUACAUCAUUUAUUAUAAUGAAGUCCCAAGAUAGCAUGGGACACCAAAGGUUGAGAUGAAAUAAAAAGAGGCAUGAAUUGAAUUCAAAGGUAUUUUUGUUGUCAACAAUUCCUAUCUUUAUAUGAAUUUUUAGGGAGAAUCUUACUUAUUGAAGAAAAAUAUUACCACCAAUUGUUUGAGAACUAAGUUGGAAAAUUCUUUGGACAAUGUUUUAUCAAAAUGGAUGAAUGAUGAAUGGUCAUAGUUUUUUAGAAAAAGAAAUUAAACCAAGCUUGUUAAUAAUCAAAAUUACUGAUUGGUAGUUUUGAGAAAAUCUUUCAAGGUGCAGGGGUUUUGAUUCAUGUCUUGAAAGGUUAAAACCUUUUAAAUUUUUAUUUUUAUUUAAAAAAAAAAAAAACAGGAUUGUUUACAUCUUAAUUAUGAGUUAUUUCAACAAAGUUAAUGUCAACCAGAAUAAACUUAUAGAAUUGUCUUGUUUUCAACAUAUUUUCUAAAAUAAAUUGAAAUUGAGAGGGGGGAAUAUAAAGAAUGAUCUUAUUUGGGUCUUCAUUGUAAAAUUAUUUUUUAAUUGGACAAAUAUGAAGAUAAUAGUUUCUUGACUUGAAAGGGUUAAUGCAUUUUUUAGGGAGGAUUUAGAGAGUAAUUAACAUAAGUGGAAGUACAGCAAAAAACCAAUAGCAAGAGAAAGAAAUAAUAGUUGAAAGAGGAUGAGUAAAAGAAUCCUAAUUUAUAGUUUUAUUGAUGAAGAGAAAAAUCCACUAUUUUUUUUUGCCCCUUUAAGAUAUUUAGAAUCUUUAAAAAGUUAAAACCAAACUAAACAAAUUAAAAAAUCCCAAAGAAAAGUAACAAAAUUCCUAAACAAACUAAGAGAAAUAAAAUUAUCAUUCUCAAUAUUUAAUUUCCUGAACUAGAUAGAAAAAAAUAAAAUCACCAUAAAGAAAAUAUUUUUCUAAACUAAAUAGAAAAUAAUAAUAAUAAUAACUAAGAAAUUUUAUUUUCAUAAAAAUCCUGGCAUCAACAAUAAUGUUGUUGAAGGUGCAUUUUAAGAUUAAACAAACAAGGGUGUUUUGAGAGAUUAAAAAUAAUUUAAGUGAGGUGUUUGGACUGAGUGAUGUUGAUGAAAGGAUUCAAAAUUGAUUAUUUGAGACAAAAACUAGCCUCACAAUAGGAGGCCAUACCCUCCUUAAAGUAUCUUGAAUGCUUGAUGUUGUUGCUUGAAUUGGUUUUAAUGGUGUAAGAGUAUUUGAUUCUUUUAACUUCUUGACCGGGAUGCUCAUUUUGAGCCUAGUAAAGACUCUUUGACUUUUAUGAAUUCAAUCUUGUAAAAGUAUCUAAGAUUUGUAAAAAUAUCUAAAACAUAAUUCAGGCAUCUCAUAAACCUUUAAAGCUGGGUUUUAUCCUUGGUUUUUUCUACGGAUUUAUCAAUAAAUUUUAGUGAUCUAGUGAUUAGAGUUAUUGAUUCUUGAUACAUGUUGUAUCCUAAAAAAUAUAUUUUUAAUUAACAUCUUUAAGGUUGAGACAACUAAUCUAUUUUGUUUGAUAAUAUUGAGAAGCUUUUGUAAGUUUUCGAAAUGUUUGGUUAUUAAUUUUAAAAAUAAAAAGUCAUCAUCUAUGUAUAUAAUCAUAAAUUUUAAAUACAGAUUAAAGAUGUCAUUUAUAAUGGUCUGAAGUUUUAAAUGAGUAGUUCAAAAGGCAUUACAUCUCAUUUGUAAUGAAUAAAUGUAACAAUGAAUGUUGUUUAGUAAUGAUUUUAUUAUUAUUAUUAAAUUAGACUUGCUAGAAUCCUGACCUUAUGUCAGAUUUUGAAUAUAUUGAAGCAUUUUAAAGUCUCAUCUCUCUUAUCAUCGUGUAUUGGAUAUCUAAUAUAUUGAAGCACUUUGUUGAGAGGCUUGUAAUUGAUGACAUGUCUUAGUGCACACUAUACCAUUAAACAAUUUUAUUGACAGAUUAAUUUCGUCGGUGUAAGGCAUGACAUCUGUCGGUAAAAUUAUUACCGAUGGUCUCAUCGAUGAAAUUCGUCCGUCGGUAUACUAAUCGCCGGUAAUUUCCUAUUCCGUCGCUAAUGUUGUCGGAAUUAAAAAAAAAAACCAACCACCGCCGGUCUUACAAACGGUGACACGCUGCAAAAACAAAAUUUCCCACGAGAACAUUACCGACGGAAUAUAUCGGUCUACAUUUUUAACGGUAAUCAUCAACGGAAUAUCCAUCGGUGAUGGUGGCAUGACGGUAAAUAUUUUAGAACUCUGUAAAAUACCAACAGAAAUAUUCCGUCGGUAAUAGUAAUGGUAAACACUGACGAAAUAUGUCCAUCGGUGAUUAUGGCAUGGGUGGUAAUUGUUUGGCAACUCUCGGUAAAAUACCGACGGCCAGGAUCCGUCGGGAAAGUCGUCGGCAUGUAUUUAUAAUAUAUAUAAAAAAUAAUUUAUUAAUAGUAAAAAAGCUUAAUAAACAAAUAAAAUUGUAUUAAACAUUAAAAAUAUAAAAAUAAUGUUAAAUAUUAUUCAUCCAAAUAUUCAUUACAAAUUUAAUGUGUUUAAAAAACAAAAUUAAACUAGAAUAGCGGUAGAGCUAGAGGAGGAGGAGGAGGAGGAGGAGGAGGAGGAGGAGGAGGAGGAGGAGUUGGUUGUUCCCGGGACCGUACGACCAAAAAGGAGCUGCACAUGUAUCAUCACCCAUCCUUGAUAAUUACUCCAUGACCAUUUGAUGGAGUUGAUCAUAAUUCAUCGAGAGUUGUUCAUAUUGUUGUUUCAAGGCCAUGAACUUCUCAGACUGGGUGCUCGAUGCUGAUGGAGAGCUCCUAACGGUUGAGACACUACGGGUUGAUCGCAAUUUUUCGGUCGUAGUGUUGGAGAGCCUGUGGACUCAAUUUUUUUUGGGACCACUAGACGAUCCCACCUCCAUCCACUAAUCCGAAUCAAAAUCCGGAUAGAUCGAAGGAUCGUCCCCAUAUCUCUCCCUCAACCGUCUAUUAUAGGUCUCCUGAAAUUUUUUAAAAAAUCAUCAUAUUCAAUUCAAGAAAAUAAUAACUUACUAAAUAAAAUGAUUGAACGAACAUACUACGAAGUGCUGAGCACGGUUGUCCACAAACUACUGCACCCCUUUUUGGCGAUCUUGACUCCGCACAUGCAUCUCUACAAACAACUCCAUUGGACGUAGCUUAUAAGGAAAAAAUAGGUUGCAAUUAAGUUAAAUAUAUUUAUAAGCAACGACAAAUUAAUUAAUGAUAUAUCUCAUUAAAAUUAAUCUUACCAUCCGCUUUGCAUGUGUGCUGAACGGGACGGAGCCGUCGGUGUGCAUGGUCACCAAACCAUGAAUUUACCAGUUCCGGUUGUGGGCGCCGAAUUGUGAGCACCAUGAUAACCACUCUAAGGUCACGUGCUCAAUAUAUGUUGUCCAUAUAUCUCUCGAGAUGAAUGGCAGUUUGAAUUCCCGCCAAACCGCUACCUCAUUCCAUCCUUUAAGACCGUUAUCCCUCGCAUGUCUUUUUGAUUUUUUUUAUUGAACCAACCAGUUUAACUCGGUUUUUUUGGUUUGGCUAAGUUUUUUAUUCUGACUUGGCUCAGUUUUUUCGGUUUUAGGCUUAUAAACAUAACCGAACCAAUCAGUUUUUUAAAAUUCUAAUCGGUUUAAUAAGUUUUUUUUACAGUUCGGUUUUUUCGGUUAUUUUUUUUAUGGUUCUCUCGGUUUAAUCAAUUUUUUUAUUUUCUUGCUUACCCUUACAUAUAGGUAGUGAAAGGGAAAUUACGAAUUAUACAGAAUUGAACAAAAAAAUAGAAGGUCAAUUUUUAAAAUAGAAUGCCCACUCCGGCGUGAAAAAUGGAAUAUUAAAGGCAAAUACAUGUUGUUGGCAAAGUUCCAAGCCUGGGGUCCAGUUUCAUGCAAACAUCUAAUGCACGUUAUGAGGCAACAAAUAAAGCAGGAAGAGAAUAGACUAAAAAGAAAUCUAUAAUGUUAAAUCUAUGAUGAAAUUUAUUGGUCUAAGAUGCUAAAAAAUUAACAUGUAUUUAAACUUAUAUAUAUUAUAAUACCUCGAAAAUAUAGAGUUGAUCAAGUUCAGAAUAUGUGGACAUGCUUUUUAUAAAUUCAAAACUAGUAGAGGAAAGACUCAUAUCGUAUAUAGAAAACUUAGAUAUUUUUCAAUUAUACCUAGAAUGCAAUGACAUCAUCAUUCACAAGAUUUUGUGGAUGUUUUAUUAUAUGAUAACAUCAAAAUAUAUUGAAAGAUUAUGUAUAUAUCAUUAUGAAUAGUGGAGAUAUGAUACAAUUAAAUGAGAAUUUUAUAUAACUAGAUAAAAAUAUGAAAUAAAAAGACUAUGUGGAUGAUCUAAUAUAUAUUUUUAUAUACCAUUGAGACAUUCUAGAUCUAAAAAGAGGUCUUGUCGUGUCAAAUUAGACGAACAUCUUAGGACCAUGUCUUUUAUCAAAUUGUUAGAUUUCCCGGAUUAGGUAUCAAAACUGAAUAUUGUUAUUUGGGUUAAUUUUUUUUUUAAUUUUUUCAAGGUUUUUUUUUUUGGAUUUAUUAUUUAAUUUGAUUUAUUAUUUUAAUUUCUUUUGCUUUUUUGUAUUUCUAGUUGUUUUCUAAUAGAUGUAGGGCUUUUUUGAUCUAUUUAUAGGUCUUAUAAACCUUUUAAAAGAUAAACUUAUUAGGUUUAUUUUUAGAUAAAUAAAUCAUAAAUUUGUGUUUCACAUAUAUAAUUUUUUUUGUUCAUUAAAUUUUAUUGUGUUUUAUGUAUUGUUACUAUUCUUAUAGGUCUCUGCUGCAUCAACCAUGCUUUGAGUUGGCUAAUUGUUAUUUUUUAUUUCAUAUUAAGUAUAAACAGGUAGUGAAAGGGAAAUUAAGAAUUAUACAGAAUUGAACAAAAAAAUAAAAGUUCAAUUUUUAAAAUAGUAUGCCCACUCCGGCGUGAAAAAUGGAAUAUUUCACAUCUAAUGCACGUUGUGAGGCAACAAAUAAAGUGGACCAAUUGGAAAUGAAAGAAGUGACCUUUGAACAAAGACUUCCAAGUCGUUGGCAUUAUGCAAUCAAUAAUUCAACAUUAAAAAAUCCCAAGUUGUUGCCUUUGAAAUGUCUAAUGCACGUUAUGAGGCAACAAAUAGAGUGGACCCAUUGGAAAUGCAAGAAGACCUUUGACAGGUCGUCUGUGCUGUGUAGCAGUGACCUCUGAAAGACAUCAAAGACUUCCAAGUCGUUGGCAUUAUGCAAUCAAUAAUUCAUCAUUAAAAAUUUUGGUAACUUUCUGGAAAUGAGACGUGAGAUUUUUCGUCCUUAACAUGUGGACCUUUCUUUAUUGACUUUCAUAAAUUUAGAUAUAACUAGUAAAUUUAAGUUGUUUUAUCUUAUUAAUUUAUACACUCAUUUUAAUUCUGUACCUCCUCGAUUCCUCUGGCAUGCAUCAUCACUCCGUAAUCAUUGUAUAUGGGAACCCCAUUUCCAUCAGCCCAAGAAAUUAUAUCUGCGUAAAGCUCGGCAGUUUGAUUAGCGAUAUAUAUUUGAAAGAUCAUAUCGCCUUCCCGCAAUAUAAUCGGUAUAAACUGACAGAAAUGAAGCCUAAAAAGAUAGGUGAAUGUGGAUUGGACCGGAAACUGCCAAGUCAUAUUGUAUUCCUUAUUUACAGUAGAAUUGGGUCCCAUGGUCCUAGCAGUUCGAUAGAGUACAUCAGGUGCAGCAUAGCGAGUGAGGUUAUUAUACUGAAGUUGAAUAGUGCCAUUAUAUUGAUAAACGCUCGGUCUAGCAUCCGUCAAGUAAUCGUCGUCGUUUAGCCAACUUUGAAUAGUGCCGUUAUUUUGAUGUUGUGGAUGUUUUGUUAUGAAUAUUUGGUGAAGAUAAGAUACAACUAAAUAAGAAUUUUAUACAACUAGAUAAGGAUUGAAACAGAAAAACUAUAUUGAUAAUUUAAUAUAUAUAUUUAUAUACCAAUAAAACAUGUUUAGACCUAAAAAAAAGGUCUUGUCCCUCAAAUUGGAUAAACAUCUUAAAAUUGCAUCUCUUAUCAAAUUAUUAGAUCUCCAGGAAUUAUGCACCAAACCAAAAUAUUGUUGUUUGGGUCAAAUUUAUUUAUUUUUCCUAGUUUUUUUAUUUAUUAUUUAAUUUGGUUCUUUAUUUUAUUUUAUUAUGUUCUUUUGUAUUUCUAGUUGUUUUCUAAUAGAUGUAGGAUUUUUUUUUAAUCUAUUUAUAGGUUUUAUAAACCUCUAAAAAAAUAAACUUCAUUAGUUUUAUUUCCAUAUAAAUAAAUCAUUAAUUUAUAAUUUACAUUGUAAUCUUUUUCGCUCAUUAAAUUUUAUUGUGUUUUUGUAUUGUUACUAUCCAUAUAGGUCUAGGCUGCAUCAACCAUGCUUUGAGUUGUCUAAUUGUUUUUUUUUUUUUUUCAUAUUAAGCAUAAACAAAAAAAUAAAAUAAAAGGUCAAUUUUUAAAAUAGGAUGCCCCAUCCGGAGUGGAAACUGGAAUAUGAAAGGCAAAUACAUGUUGGUGGCAAAGUUCCAAGCCUUUGGGCCCAGUUUCAUGUAAACAUUAGGCAACAAAUAGAGGGGACCAAUUGGAAAUGGAAGAAGACCUUUGACAGGUCGUCUCGUCUGUGCUGUGUAGCAGUGACCUUUGAAAGGCAUCAAACACUUCCAAGUCGUUGGCGUUAUGCAUCAAUAAUUCAACAUUCAAAAAAAAAUCCGCACUUUCCAAGAAAAUUAACUUUCAAGACAUCAUAAUCAGACUUCUGCAUAUUUCCGUGGAAUUUUAUUUUUUAUUUUUUUUAAAAUAUGGAAAUAUAUUGGUAACGUUUUAGAAAUGAGACGCCAGAUAUUUUUCGUCCUUAACAUGUGGACCUUUCUAUAUUGAUUUUCAUAAAUUUAGAUAUAACUAGUAAAUUCACGUUGUUUUAUCUUAUUAAUUUAUACAUUCAUUUAAUUAUUAUUUAAUAUUUGUUUUUCUUAUUUUCUCUACAAUAUCACUUGAUAAGUUGGCAAGGAUAAUGAUGUCCAAUAUAUUUCAGAAAAUAAUACAUGAAAGUCUUACAAUGUUGUUAUCAAUUUACUAUUUUACUAAUACCAUACAUCUACAUGCAAUAAAUAUAUUUUUCAUUUUUUCUUAUUGUGUGGAAUUUUUUUUUUAUAAUACUCAGAAAAAAAUAAUAAUUAAAAGAAUAAGGACCAAACUAGAACAAUUUUAUUUUUGUUUUUAAUGCUUUUUUAACUUAAUUGUUUUCAAUUUUAUCCAUAUAUAUUUUAUUUAAUUUAAUUAUUUAAUCUAGUUUGGUCCUCAUUCUUUUUAUUACUAUUUUUUUUAAAUUUUAUUUCUCAUCAUUUUAUUUCGUUUAAUUUUUGUGUCCAAUUUUGGUACUCAUUCUUUGAUUGCUUUAUAUAUAUACUAAAUAUAUAUAUCAUUUUCUUAAUUUAUUUUAAUUUUCAAUUUAGUCUCUUAUUGUUUUCUUUUAUUUAAUUUUUAUGUCAGAUUUGGUCCUUAUUUUUUAUUGUUAUUUAUUUAUUUCUUAUCUAAUUUUGGAUGAUUAGGGAUUUUGCUUGGUAUUUUUUAGAGUUUGCCUUUUAUGAUUUAAUCCUGAUUUCAUUACUCAAGUCACUAGUUUCGAGGAUUAGCCCGAUUUAAAUUUGAUAUUUUUUAUACCUUUUUUUUAAAAUUGAUUAUUUUUUAAUUUUAUCAUUUAAUUUAGGUUAUUAUGUCUUGAGUUUCAUAAUUUUUUCUACUUUUCUUUUUCUAUAUCAUCCUAUGUCAUGGGUUUGCUGGGUGAACUCAGGGUCAUUCAAGUUUUAAUUUCAUUUAGUCUUGAGUUUCAUGGUUUUUAUUUAAUUCUUUUAUUUUAUCAUUCCACAUUAAAUUAUUGGGUUUUGAGCUUCAUGGUUUUUUCCUCAUUCUUUUAUGUGAGUUUAUCUUGAUCUCAUAUCAUAGGCUUAGAUUUUUUAUUGCGUUUUUAUUUCAUCAUUUGAAAUUACAUUAUUGGGUUUUAAGCUUUGUGAUUUUUUUUAAUUUUUUUUUAUGGGGUUAUCCUGAGUCGCAGGUUUGUCAAGUUAACCCGAGUUGACUUCGAGUUUUUUUUUUAUAAUCCUUUUAUUUUUCUUCGGUCUUUUUUUCUUGGUCCUUUUUAUUUUAAAUAAUUUUUUAUCCCGAUCACAUUUUGCGGGUUGCGAAUUAGUCGAGUGAACCUUGGCUCACUCAAAUUUUUUUACAUUGUUUCUUUUUAAAUUAUUUUUUAUUUCAAUUUAAUUUUUUGAUAUUAGAUUGUUAGGUCAUGAUCUUAGUGAUUUUUUCCACUUUCCUUUAUACGAGGUUGACUCGAGUUACGAGUUAAUCAAGUUAACCAGGGUGGCCUCAUUUAUUUUCUUGAUAUUUUAUUUAUUGAUUUAACUUCAAUCUUUUUUAUUUAAGUCUUUUUUUUAAAAAAAUAUUUUUUUAAUUCUAAUCUCAUAUUGAGGGAAGCGGGUAGUUAAGUGAUUUCGAGUUGACUUGUGUUUUUUUUUGAUGUUUCUAUUUUUAAAUUUUAUUUUCGAGUUUCAUUUUUUAACAUUAGGCUAUUAGGCUUGGAGCAUUAUUUUUUUUUUCGUUUUCCUUUUAUAGAAUUAUAUUAAUUUUUUAUCCUAGAUCAGAGGUUACUCAAAUUAACCUAACUUAACAUAAGUGAUCAAUGCCUUAACAUUUUUUUUUCUGUAACAUGGAUCACCAUACCAGUAAUAUAAAAAAGAGAAAUGGGGACCAAAUUCUUUUAUCUCUCUCUCUCUCUAGAGAGAGAGAGAGAUCAUUGGAGUCUAAAAGUAAAUUUGAUAUCUUCAUGAUGAAUAAAAGUACAAAAUUAGAUUAAUUGAAAUAUUAUUAGUUUAGUUAUAUAAAUAUAAAUAUUACGUAAAGUUUAUGUCAUUUAUCUACACAUAAAGAAAAUCUAAAAUCUUGGUAGAUUAAAAAUCUUUUUUCUCUUGUGAGCAUAAACUCUCUUUUUUUGUUUUUGUUUUAGCUAGAAGUGGUAAAAAAGAGAUAUACAGAGGAUAUGAGAUUGAUCAGCUCUUUUUAAUAUGCAGAGAGAUUCAAACCAUUGACGUAAUCAAGAUUUUACUAAUUAAAGGUUUUGAGCAUUUAGCUAAAUAUAUGAUACAAUAAAAUAAGAAUUUUAUACAACUAGAUAGAGAUUUGAUCUAGACAAACUAUAUAGAUGGCCUAAUAUAUAUUUUUAUUUAUCAAUGAGAUAUGUCUAGGUCUAAAAGAAGGUUAUGUAGUGUCAGAUUAAGUUAACACCUUAAAACUGCAUCUCUUAUGAGACUAUCGGAUUUUCAGAAAACACACCCCUUGCUCUUUGAUCUGGAUCACUUUGGGUGACACUUUCGCGAGUGCUAACAGUGCUCCUUGAAUGCGACUCCGCUCCACUAAACAUGUCAUCGUCAUCAGUGGUCGUGACAUCUUGAUGUGGUGAAAAUGAGCUUUUAUUUUCCAUAUUGAUCCCGUCUACACUGUUGGCAUUUUCCUCAGCAGAUUGUUGAAGCUGCAAUGCAAAUUCAAGGCCCCAAACGACAUCACCCAUUUUAGGGCGUUCAAUUCCUGAAACAUGUAAGCAACUGUUAGCAAUCUCUGCCAACUUAUUUAAAGAGACAGGGGAAACCUCGCCCUUUAAAUGUGGAUCCACGAUCUGAUCAAGGGUUCCUCUUUGGUAACACUUUCUUGCCCAGUCAGCUAAGCUUGCUUGAUCUUUCGGUGAACUUGGAAUCACUGGUGGCCUUGCACAUAGCACCUCAAACAAAACCACACCGAAUGAAUAAACAUCAGAUUUCUCUGUCAGGUGUUGCCUACGGUAGUACUCUGGAUCCACAUAUCCAAUGCUACCUCUAACUACAGUGCUAACAUGGGUUUGGGAUGUACUAGUGGGACCCAAUCUGGACAGCCCAAAAUCUGAAACCUUAGCCACCCAAUUCUCAUCUAACAAUAUGUUUGUUGACUUCACAUCACGGUGAAUGACUGUGUGCUUUGCUCCUGAAUGAAGAUAAUGCAACCCUUUAGCAGCACCGAUGCAUAUUUCUAGCCUUUGCUUCCAUGGAAGAGGAGAGUUCUUUGUUUUGUAUAGAUGUUCUCUAAGAGUGCCUCUUGACAUGUAAUCGUAUACAAGAAUCAUCUCGCCAUGAUCAUCACAGUAUCCAAUCAGCGACACUAGAUGGAGGUGGCGCAGAUUGGAUAACAUCUCAAUCUCUGUCUGGAACUCACGUGUCCCUUGCUUUGAUGAUGAAUCUAGUCGUUUGAUGGCUACUGCACCGUAUUCAAUGUAUCCUUUAUACACAGUACCAAAUCCCCCUGAACCAAUAAUAUUUUGAUCAUCAAAGUGUCCUGUUGCUUCGUUGAUUUCGAAAAAUGUAAACCGUCGGCAAAGAUCAGUAGGGAGUGAUGAAGAGAUUGUAGUCGUGGACCUAGAUGUUUGUGAUAUUAGAGUCCAGGAGGAUUUUUCCUCACUCUUGCUAGGGUCCUUGACUCGCUUCUGCUUGAAAGCAAAGAAAUAAAGAAUAAGAGAGCAAGCAAACACUGCACCUAUGGAACCUCCAACGAUGGCUAUAACCGUAAGUAUUGAUGAUCUUUUGCCCGUUCUUCUGUCUUGUAGACUUGGAUGUUGUUCUGCUGGUGGAGGAGCCACUGUUGGCUCAGGGUUGGAUCCUGCAAGAUUUCCGUCUGUUGUAUUCAGCUUGAAUAUUUCCAAGCCAUUCAAGAUUGCAUCAGCAUAAGUAG